AAGAAACUAUCCUUCAUCUGCAAUCAGUGAAGGGAAAUACAGAACGUGUGAGAUUCAUUUUGAGGGAAUUUCCACACAAAAAUCUUUUGACUAAGCUUAGUAAAUAUAAUCAUUCAGCACUUCACUUAGCUAUAUAUCGAGGAGGACACACCGAAGUGGCUCAGGUCCUCAUUGAUGCAGCUCGCCAUUUGCCUCCUCCUCCUCCUUCAGAUGAUGAUGAUAAUUCAGUGACUUCUUUUCAAGCUUUUCUCAGGCAAGGUGAUAAAGAUAUGGACACGGCCUUACAUGCAGCAGUCAAGUAUGGUCACCUGGAUAUUGUUAAGCUACUAGUAGAGGCCGACCCGACUGAUACACAUAUUCAAAAUGAUGACGGUAAAACACCCAUGUACAUAGCUGUGGAGAAAGGGCUCAACGAUAUAGCAGACAUUAUCUCUACAACUUGCACUGCACCAUCUUUGCUGGGGCCUCGUGGUAGUACUGUGGUGCGUAUUAAAAAUCUGGACCAAGGUAUGCUCUUUAAACACUCUUUUGGUAGUUCUUUGUUACUUUUAAGCUUAAUUCUUUAUGUUUUUUGCUAAAAGCUUUCUUCACAUAUACACACAUAUAGGUAAGAGCCAGGGGGGAACAACAUACAAAAUUAUGGAUAGAUACGCUUUUUAUGUGGCGGCCAUUGAAGGAGAUGAUGAUGCAAUUCAUAAUUUGGAAAUGCAAGCUGAUAUAUUCAACGGAGGGGAAGAAACUAUCCUUCACGGUGAAUCUGAAAAUAAAUAUGCAGAACGUGUGCGAGUUAUUCUGAGGGAGUUUGCAAAAAAAAAUCUUUUGGCUACGCUGACUGCAGAGAAACAAACUGCACUUCACUUGGCAGCAAUAAAUGGACACACUGACUUGGCUGAGAUCCUCAUCGAUGCAGCUAGACAUUUGCCUUCUUCAGAUGAUGAUAAUACUCGUGAUAAACCAGUUACUUCUUUUCAAGCGUUUCUUAGGCAAUCUGAUCUGAAUGAGGACACUGCCUUACAUAAAGCAGUUUUGAAAGGGCACGCUCCUAUUGUUAAGCUAUUAGUAGAGGCGGAUCCAAGUGAUACACAUAUUCAAAAUUGGUCUGGUGAAACACCAAUGUACAUAGCAGUGGAGAAAGGGUUGAAUGAUAUAGCAGAGAUCAUCUCAACAACUUGCACUGCUCCAUCUUUGCUGGGACCUGAUUGUAGUAGUGUUGUGCCUAACAAGAAUUUGGACCAAGGUAUGCCUUAUAAAGACUCUGUCUCUUGCCUCUUUUUUUUAAUGUUAGACAUAUAUACUAUAAAGGCAUGCAUACCCUUUUGGUAAUUAAACUAUGGGGCCGUUUGGAUGAGCUUAUAAUAAGUGCUUCUUGGUUAAAGUGAAAAAAGUGAAGUAGAAGUUAGAAACAAGUUAUAAGACUUACAAGUGAUUAAAGUGUUUGGGAAAUAAGUAGAAGCCAUUACACAAACGGUACGAAUAAGUGCUGCUAACUUAUAAACCGAGAAGCUCGGCUUAAAAGUGGCUGCCAAACACCCACUAUAUUUAGUUCCUAUUAUGUAAAUUUUUUCUUGACCUAUAUAUUCAAUGUCAUGAUGAUUCCUUACAUACACACGAUUUGACACAUGUUUAUCUAUAUAGCUAAAAGCCCUGGUGGAACCCUCUAUAAAAUUAUGGACAAAGAUGCUCUGUAUUCAGCUGCCAUUGCUGGAGAUGAUGAUGCCAUAGCUGCAUUGGAGAUGCAUGCUGAUAAACUGAACAAAUACGAAGAAACUAUUCUUCACACAGAAUCCGAAAACGGAAAUACAGAACACGUGCAAUUUAUAUUAAAGGAGUUUGCUGAGAAAAAGCUUCUGGUCAAGCUUAACAAAUAUAAACAGACAGCACUUCACUUAGCAUCGUGUGAAGGACAUACAGAAGUGGCUGAGAUCCUCAUUAAUACUGCUAGACAGUUGCUCCCUCCUUCUCUAGAUGAUGAUAAUCCAGUGACUACUUUUCAAGCUUUCCUUUGGCAAGCUGAUGAUAAAAUGGAGACUGCCUUACAUGAUGCAGUUAGGAAGGGUAAUGUGGGCCUUGUUAAGCUAUUAGUGGAGGCGGAUCCAAGUCAUCCGCACACACAGAACAGUGAAGGUGAAACACCGAUCUACAUAGCUGUGGAAAGAGGGUAUUACGAUAUAGCAAAGAUGAUCUGUACAACUUCCACCGCUGCUCCUAAUUUGGAUGCUCCUGCUGGUAGGACGACUGUUUUACAUAUUCUUAUCAACAAUCUCGACAAAGGUAUGUAGGAUAUAUGUUGUAUAUAACAAUUUAAUAUGCUUUAAGAUACUUUUUUUUUGUUUUUUUAGAUGUACAGGCCCUCUUAAAACCCCUAAGCUAAGAAUUCUUACAACCUUGUCAUAUUAAUAACUGUUAUGGAUCAGAACUGCAGAUAUGUAAAAAGUAUCAUGUUUAUAUAUUAUAUUUUAAAAUUAUUUUUAAACAUGUAAAAAACAUAAAUUUAGAUUUAGAUAAGAACCUUAGUGGUUUCAUUAUUUUUUCUUCAAAAAAACGUUGGAAAUUAAUCAUAAUAUACAAACUGGUUCUACAGUAGAACCAUAUUCAUCCAGAGUGAUUCUACAGUAGAACCAAAUUUAAAAAUCAAUUUUUUUUACUUAGAUUGUAUGUGUUAAAUUGUUUAUACAUGUUAUGUAUGAUUAGUAUUCUACAUUAGAAUCAAAAUUUAUGCAUAAGUAUGUCUAAUUUUAAAAUUAUUAAUGAAAUUUUAAAGUAGAAUCAAAUGGUUCUCCACGGGACUCCAUAUAAGAUGGUUCUCCAUGGAACAAUAGCCUAUAUUAUAUAUAUAUAUAUAAUUCUUUUAUAAUGUUGAUAGACUAGUUUAUAACCCGUAUAUGACAUUUAUAAUUUAAUUGUCUAUAUUUUAAAUUUAGUUAUAGUACUGAUUAUACAAAACACUCGUAAACACCUUUUGUGUUGCACUUUCCAUAAAAUGCGACUUUCAAGUUUCUAACAGGUCUUGGACUCAACUCGUUAUACUUAAUAAUAACAAACAGUAUAGUAUUUCUGCAUCAUAAAAAUAAAUUUUAUAAUAGCUUAAAUGUUUCAAAUACGAAUAUGUCCAAAGGGAGAUUUUCUUCUAAUAUUACAGUACUUUCCUAGCAGGGGCAGAAGAAGAAGCAACCGCUGUAAUUAAGUUAAUCAUUAAAGCAGUCAAACAUGCAAAUAAGCAUGGGACCUCAGACGAGAGAGAUCAAAGGUUAAUGCAGUUCUUUAAUAGGACUGAUGAGAAGGGACGUAUGAUUUUAGAACUGGCAGUAGAGGAAAAUCAUCUGGACGUGGUUAAACUGAUACUGGCAAAAAAUCCAGUUUAUGGCCGGCGCAUAUGGCGCAUGUAUCCUGAAUUGAUGGGUAUCAUGCCUUUAAUUUACAGAGCCAUGGAUAACGAGAAACAUGAUAUCGUCAAUUUACUCACUCAAACAUACCAAAGAGGAGUUCAAAUGAUGCAAUUCCAAAAGGAGGUCCAAACCAGGGAGUCUGCCAAUGUGCACCAAUUCAUAUCUGCCAAUGUGCACCAAUUCAUAUCUGACAUGGACAGGGGCAACGAAGGUAUGUAUAAUGCCAUUAAUUUCAAUAUUACUUAAAUUAAAUCAUACUAGCUUAUAACUGGUGCAAUGCAGUUAUGUCAUUUGUUAUUUUAUUAUAAAUAUUUUAAAUAUAACUAAUUUUAUUGUGAAAAUAAAAUUAUGAUAGAAUAACAUGAUUAAAUAAAUUUUGUAUUUAACAGCCGAAUAAAUUCUUAAUAGUUAAGUCUGUUAAAUAGCUAAUUAAAAAUUAGAUUAAACACACACACACACACACACACACACACACACAUAUAUAUAUAUAUAUAUAUAUUUAGGGCUUUUUUCAUAAAUACCCAAGUCUAAACGAUUUUUUGCAAAAAUACUGUAACUUUUUAAAACAAAUUGCAAAAAUACUGUAUCUGAAAAAAUAUUUGCAAAAAUACGGAGGUUGCAUAUGCAACUGUAUCUAGCAACCACAUAUGCAGUUUCGAAAAAAUCUUUUGAAAAUUACAUAUACAGACUUGAAAAAAUCUUUUGAAAACGUGCAACUAAUUGCAAAUGGCUAAAAAUGAAUGCCCCUGCUGAGCCCAUAGCAAUAACACACAAACAACCCCAAAAUCAAUUAUACUCAAACUUAAACCCGUGCGACUCACCAUCAGCACCCGCCCACGGUCCCAUAUCUAUCUGCCUUUAUCUACUCAAACCCAACACAACCAACCACACUCCAACCUCUACACACCCAUCACAGCCACCGUUCUAGUGACCACCAUCCCCACCGCAUCCCAUUAUCAGAUUUGAUAUGCUCAAACUCAACAUAACACAAUUUGAUCUAAUUUGAUCUGCCGUGAUAUGAACAUCGUGUAUUUCAUCACAAUCAAGAGAGAGCACGACGAAUUUGUUAAAUCUGAACUUUUGAUUCUAGACGAGAGGAACAUUUGGAUGAUCUCGAUAAUUAGUAAUGUGAGUGAAUGAAUGAUACUGUUUGUUAAAAAUUCUACAAAUAUAUCUGGAUGAUGAUAAUUUACUAGUAUAACUUGUUAAAUGAAUAAUAUCAUAUGAAAUUAUAUUUUGAUUGAAUCACAUGAAAAAAAUAAGAUAUACUUAUUUAUAAAGGAUAAAAAAAAUUAAAAUUUCAUGUUAUUAUAGAUCUUCUAUUGCAUAAACAAGGUCUUUAAACACAACUACGUAACAAUUAGAAAAAAGAAUUACAAUUUUAAAGUAAUAUGAUCUCGAAGAUCAUUCAUGUAUUUGUAGCUUGAGAUGUCCAUUGUGUCUCAUUUGUCGGUUGUUCCAUGUCUUCGUGAUUUUCUUCACCAUCACUACUUUCAUCGCAAUGAUGAAAGUAUUUGUUUUCUAGUUUCUCUUUCCAUAUAAAAUUAUGAACUGCAAUAUUUUUAGUAGUUCUCUUUGUCUCUACGAAAUAUUUGAGUUUUGUUUUGUUUAUGUACGAACAACGAUUUCUAUUGCAAACUCCAUCAUUCCAUUCAAAACCUCGUGAAAAUAUUUAUGUAUUGUCUGAGUAGAGUGUUGGAAUCUUCGUUCAACCUUUAUAAAGCGAUAAUUAUGACUUAUAACUUGAAGAAUAUUUUUCUACGAUUGUGGAGUAUUGACUAUCCCGAAGCCAACCACGUUGCUUAAAAUGGUUAUAAAGUUGAAUAUAUGCAACACGAGAAAGACGCAUCAUAUCUUAACACUGUAUGCUGGAACUAUCCAUCAACUCUAAUGUACAAGCAAAUCCAAGUAAUGAAGAGGUCUUAUCUCUUAUUCUUGAACGAACCUUUUCUAGAUAACAAUACAUUAUCGUUAAACAUAACAAUCGAUCCUGAACAUCCAUAAUAUAAUCAGUAAAAGACAUAGUAUAUUUAUUCAAUGAAACUAUUCAACAAAAACAUGUAUUUAUGAAAAACCAGAAUUCUACCAAUCCAACAUAAAACGUAUUUAUUCGACGCAUCAUAAAACCUUAACAAAUAAGAAAGCUGCAUAUAUACUAGUUACUUAUUAUGUAAAUCUAAAACUUAUUUCUUGGGGGGGCUAAAAAACAUGCACCUUGUAUGCUGGUUAACUAGCCGUACAUUUCCCUCAAUGUUACAAAAUAUGAACAUGCAUAUCAGUAGUAAAAAUAUUUUUUUAAAAUUUUUACCAUUCAAAUCGAAUAUUAUUUAUUUAAACAGAACUAUGGAACCGGAGUUAGAUAAUUAGACUAAAAGUGGCUGAGGAAGUUAGAAUAAAAUCGCAAAACUAUUAAGUUGAAAUAAAUUUGAAAACCACCACCAUUACAAUUACGUUUUACAUAAUUUGUAGUCGUACUAUAUACAUCUUUUCAUUGCCUUUAAAUAAAUUCAUAGUAAAUUUCCUUUGAUAUUCAGACUGUUCUACCACAUAGCUUUGGUCAUUUUUAAGAAGAUAAUUGAGCGUUUGUUGUACCCAACACAACUUACUAAACACGUCCAAUGUACUUCUCCAAUAACCUUAAGAUUUUGGUAGAGUUCGCACUAACAUAUAUACUUAUGAACUGGUGACUGAUGAGUGAUCAAAAAUCAAAUGAAAAAGAUAUAUACUACAAGCUUUCAUGCCUUUAAAUUAAGCAAGAAAUGCACAAUUGAUAAGCUUCAAAGUAUUAAUAACACACAUAUGUAAAAACAACAGACAAAGAAAACGACAUGAAUAUACUAAUAUUUACAAUUUAGGUUGAGAAAGACUCGUACUUGGGUAGAACUAGAAGUGAUUGACAGAGACUCAGAUGAGAAGAAGAUACAUUAAAUACCUAAAUAGCAGAAAUGAUAAGAAUAGGCACCAAAAAACCUCCGACGGUAGCGGGUUAUCUUACACUACAAGAAAAGCGGCUUAUUUCGACCGGCCAAAUACGGUCGAAAUUAGCUAUUUUUGAGCAGAAACGGUCGAAAAUAACGCAAAAAACUGGUCACAUAUAACCUAAUUAGGAAUCGAUAAAUUGGAGAGCUAUUUGGACGAUUGAGCGAGAAAUUUGAGGAUGCAUCCUCCGGAAGUUCUUUACAUGUCGGUCGAGAGAGUGUUUACUGUCCAAUCCAAAUAAAUUGCUAUCAAAUAAUCUUAACGAGGCCCAUACUGAAUGAGCUAAUAAUAUCUAUCAUCCACUUGUUAUGAAGUGAUCUCUAAUUGUUUUGUAUGAUAUGUAAUACAUAGAGAUAGGUUUAACCAUAUACAGUAUAUUCCUUUUUUUUUUAACUCUCAACAUAUUUUAUAAAUUUCUAUGACAUGUAUAAGUAGAAUUAAAAAACCCCCACAAUGAAUAUUAGAAAAAAUGAAAUGCUCACAACAAUUAUUUCCAUGAUCAAUCAUCAGUUGAUCCCUCGACUAGUUUUUAACAAUUUGAAACCAGACCUACAUAUACGAAGAGAAUAAUGUAUAACUGAUUCAGUUAUUGCAAUUUGUUUGCAGAAUAUGUCCUCAGUGUGCUAAAUAAUUAUGACCUCAAAGAGCUUGUAACAUUUCAUGACAAUCUUGGAUGGACAGCACUUCACCAUGCAGUAUAUUAUCAACAUAAUUUGAUAAUUGACAAGAUAAUACAAGCACAAAAGAGAUAUGGGCAUGGAUUUGUAUAUCCAGAUAGGAUAGCCACACCGUUCCAUAUAGCAGUCCAGAAAGGAUAUAUGACUACUCUGCAACUUCUAUUAAAGUUAUGGCCAGCGACAUCUUUGACAUUUACUGGUAGUGAUAGAAAGGGGCAGAAUAUACUACAUUUGGCAGCAUUGCAAAGUGGAAAAGAGAUGAUACUGUGCAUUUUAAAAUAUUGUCCAGAAGUGUGCAAGGAGGACUUUGUAAACAAGAAGGAUGAUAAUGGGGAUACACCUCUUCACUUACUUAUCGGUCGUGGUUGCUUCAUUCCAGAAUUCUGUACAUACAAAGGACUCGAUACAAGGAUUGAAAAUAAGAAAAAAUGGACUCCUCGUGACAUGUUGUAUUUUGAAGAUCAAAUUAUGGAGGAUCAGGUACUUGCAAAAACUACUUCUACGUCCAUGUUCAUGGAAGAUUCCCCUUGAAUAUAAUGAUAAAUGCAAUAAAUAAUAUCUAAAUUACAGUAGAAAUUUUUUUUGCUUCAAAUAAUAAAAAUAUGUGUAAAUCAUCUUCCAAAUAUCUUACAAAAAAUCAUUCUUAAAAAUAGAUAUACAUGUGAUUAUCAUAUAAUAUUUUGAGGAAAAACAAUUUUUCUCAUUAAAUCUUGUGUAAAUAUUUAUAUGGAUCCCUCAUAUUCAUUUAGGUGAUGGUGGGUGAAGAUUGAUCAUGUUAAACAUUAUCUCUUGGAUUAAUUAAAGUAUGUUCAAGUUAUUGUAAUUUUUUAUCUUUUGAAGAAAAUUUUAAACAAAUUAUUAGAAAUAUUUAUUAUUACCCCAUUUAAAAUAUUACUGAACCUUAUAUACAUAUAGGCAAUUGCUCAAAUAUAAACCACUAAAAUAAAAAUUAAAAUGACCUCACCCACCCCUAUGUGUCAUCACCCACCCCGUCAUCACCCACCUAGGGCCCACCCUCAUCCCUACUCAAUCCACCCCGGGCCCUCUAGGGUUCACAGACCCUGAACAGGCUCUAGACAGUCUUAAAGAGCCAAAUCAUGGCCCCACCUUGGCCCCACUAGGCCCCGACCUGACCCUAUUAGGCUCCACUUAGACCCCGUCUAGCCCAUCUCGGAGUCCAUGCCCGAUCCCAAAACCCGCACCAUUCUACUUAAUCGCAUUGAUUUCUAUUUAGUUUCUAUUCUAGUAGUUUAUAUAUAUAUAUAUAUANAUAUCAUAUAAUUGAAAAAAUAUUAGAAAUUAUAUUAUUAUAAAGUACAUAUUAUCUAUUUUAAAUGUAAUUUUCAGUAUUCAAAAUAAUAAAAAUAAUAAAAAGAUGUUCGUUAAUAUUUGGUCAAAAAAUGGUGAUUGAACAUUAAAAGCGGACAACUAAGAAAGACAAUAUAUUUCUAAAUAUAUAUUGAUAAUUCAUAUAUAUAUAUAUAUAUAUAUAUAUAUAUAUAUAUAUUUAGUAAUAAAAAAUGAUUUAAAUAGUUUAUAUAUAUAGUAAUAAUAAUAUGAUUUAAAUAAUUGAAUUAGGUUCCAUGGAGACAACAUAUUUUUCGAGUAUUAAUGGAGUCCAAGAUCUCCGCCAUGCACUUAAUUUGUCAUCCGUCGGUCCAUAUGUUUUGACAGAAAAAAUACUGUAUAACAUGGAGUAAAUGAAAGCAGCCAAUAUAUCUCGCUGACGUGUCAAUAAUACUAAUCACAUCAUCUACACAUCUCUUCAGGUUCUUAAUUGUUGGCUGCAACUUGAUCUCAAGUCAUCUUAAUUAGAUUUUCAUUACUCUCGCUCUUAUCCUUUUCUCCACUCUCUUUUGAGUGUUUAUGUUCUGCAAUUUCUCUCCACUCUUUUUGUUGAAUUGUUCUGCAGUUUCUCUUCGCUCUUCUGCCUAAAUGUUCUCUUUUUGGAUUUAAUCUUUAGAAAUACCCCCCUCAAUUGAUGGCUGCAACUUGAUCUCAAGUCAUUAUAAUUAGGUUUUUAUUAUUCUCGCUCUUAUCCUUUUCUCCACUCUGUUCACAAUGUUUAUGUUCUGCAAUUUCCCUCCACUCUCUUUGUUGAAUUGUUCUGCAGUUUCUCUCCGCUCUUCUGCCUAAAUGUUUUCUUGUUGGAUUUAGUCUAUAGAAAUAUCCCCACAAGCAUCUGUACAAGUUAACUACAUGCAGAACAUUCAUAGUGCUAACCCUUUGAAUAAAAUCAACAGACAUAUCAAAACUCAUGUUCUGCGUCUUGCAAAGACUAGUUAUAUUUUUGAUCGUAUUUGAUUUUUAGGGAACAAUGUUCUUCGUUUGCUAAUAAAAUGAGUAUGGUUUUGUUGUAUAUCUAAUUGAGCCAGGUGAAGCAGUUAAUUUGCAAUAAUGUCGCGCAUAUACGUAUUUUGGCAUAUAGGUUAGUUUAUUAAUUUUAAAAAAAAUUGUUUCAAUCUACCUUUAAUCCUGACCGUUAAUUGAUAUAUUUGCUUAAUGGUGGAUCUUGUGAUCUUCAAGGACUCCAAAUUUCGGGGUCUCAACAGGAUCCAACUUUGUAGUUUGAUAAACUAUUUUUUUUACAAAAUCUAAAUCAACAAAAAGAACAUGUGUAUUAUAAAUAAUGCACAUAUAAGUGUAUUAUGAACCAUUCCCACUUUUCACUCUUUAGAUCAUUUAUAUAAAACAUGUCUCCAAAUAAUAAUAAUUAAUAUUAUUGUUUUUGUUUUAUUUAUAGGUACAAAUCAAAAUUAUACUUGAUGGUAUCCAAACGGAUCCUAUACGGGAUAAUAAGUUCUCCCGUUCCGUGGUCCCAAGUAAACGAAUGAGAAAAGAUGUGAUUUUUAAUGAACGAGCAAAACUGAUGAUACAUGAAAAGUAUACAGCAAUGAAAGAAGAUCCUGAUGUCAUUGCCAAUUGUUUUGCCGAUGCCAUUGGGGGAGAUCCUAUUUCCAAAGCUGCAUUAAGGAUGAAAGCUGAUAAACUGAACAAAUCAGGAGAAACUAUCCUUCACGUUGAAUCAAAGAAGGGAGAUAUAGAAAACGUGCGAUUCAUUGUGACUGAAUUUGCAAACAAAAACCUUUUAAGCAAGAUGGAUAUAUCAGAACAAACUGCACUUCACCUUGCAGCACAACAUGGACACACUCAAGUGGUUGAAGCUCUCAUUCAUGCCGCAAGACUUGUGCCUUCUUCGAAUGAUAGCAAUGUUCAAAACAGUGAAGGCAAGACUCCAAUCUACAUAGCCGCAGAAAAUGGUUACAAAGAUAUAGUAAAGGUGAUCUGUAGGGAUUGCAAAGCUCUGGUUUUAGAUGGUCCGGGUGGUAGGACAACUGCUUUGCAUGCUCUCAUACAGAAUAUAGACCGAGGUAUGAAUAUAUGAUUUUAAUUUUAUUAGGAGUUAGAUUACUUUGUUAGAAUAAAUAGUAUAUGAUAAUUUCAGGGCCCAUAAACUUGGAGGGCAUCUAAUAAAUUCAUAAACCUUUCCUCUGUGUUAUUUAUUAAGUUUUUAGGGUGAUGGUCUCAUAUUUUUAAAUUUUAAUAAUAAUAUUAUAUAUUGAUAUAUUCAAAUAAAAUGUGUUAUAUUAAAAUAUUCUACUGAGUAUUUUAUAUGAUUAAAUGUGAUAAACAUUAAGAAGUUAUCUUUAUUAUAUAUAUUAAUUAAUGUUUGAGGAGGGGUUAAAAUAAAAAUAAGAUUUAUACUUAAUAUAUUUCAAUUGAGUAUCCAGAUAUGUUUGUGGUGUUAUUUAUUUUUUUUUGUCAGGAUGUUUGUGAUGUUAUUGUUUAUAUAUACUUUUAUUAUUUCUGGUAAAACUGUGUAAACAUAAUAUUUUGUGCAUAAUUUUUAUAUUAUAUUGAAUUGUAAAAUUGUAAUUUCCUUGUCAAAUUAUAAUAGGAAAAUAUUAUAAGAGUCUUGAAGCAGUUGCUGAAAAACAAAGGUGCUUUUAAUUGGAUCCUUUGGGAACAAUAAUUGGGUUAUUGGGAGCUAUUCAAAAUUAGAGAAUUCAGUUUACUCUUAAAAUUAUAUAAAUAAUUCAGUUUGCCAGAGGUCUUGAGCAUUCUUCAGAUCAAUCUAAACACUUCAGAUCAAUCUGAACAGUUGAGAUCAAUUUUUGACACCUUAUACCAAUGGCUGUCAAACACCAAAUUGGACUGAAGAGUAACUGAAAAAAGUAGUUUUAGCCGGUGUAACACUCAUUUUAGCUUGUACUGAUUACUUGACAGAAGGAACAGAAGGAGAGAGCGAUGUGAUUCGGAUGAUGGUUGAUGCAGCCAAACGCUGGAGUAGUGUACAGGAUUUUGAAGCAUUAUUUAGUAGAACAGACGAGCUGGGAAGAACUGUCUUGCAAAUUGCUGUGGAGAGAAAAGAUGUGAACGCUGUUAGACUGAUACUGAAGGAAGAUCCCGCCAAUCAACCUGGUGGUGAAAUGAAAAGAAAUGGUCUCAUGCGUUUAAUCUGCAAGGCCAUUGAUGACGAGUGUAGUGAUGAUAUUAUCAAAGCACUCUCUCAAACAUACAAAGCUGGAAUAAAGGACCAUGAUCCCAACGACGUGCUUGACUUAAUUCGUGCUAUUCAAGAGCUUGAUAAAGGUAUGAACUAAUACUUUAUAUAUUUAUCUUAGGACUAUAUAAUACACUACAUCGGAAGGCUAACAGUUGCUAUCAUAUUUGAUUAUGUGAUUCCUUCAAGUAAUUUUAAAGCAUGUGCAGAAUAUGUAUGCUACUUCAAGUAAAAUUUUCAGAAUAAUUGAUACCAUAUGUGGUGUGAAUCAAAUUCAAAAUUAUUAUGUGUAUGUUCCUGUUUCACUUAUGUUUGAUAUAAUUAACCUAGUCAUAUAUUUAUUUUUUCUUCAGACUCUGUAUUAAGUCUCUUGGGAAAGGCCAAAAAGCUUGUAACUUUUAAAGAGGAUAAUGGGUGGACACCACUUCACUACGCGGUGUAUUACGAAUUUGAUGCCAUACUUGAUGCCCUAAUAAAAGCACAAAAAGAUUUGGAACACCCAUUUGAUUAUGAAAAUAUGGAAGCAACUCCAUUUUAUGUAGCCAUCGAACGUGGAUAUACUUCUACGUUGGUACGACUUAUGGAAUUAUGGCCAGAUUUGUCUUCUGAUGAGUGCUCUCCAUACACACUCGUUACUCAAGAUGAUCAAAAUAUACUACAUAUGGCAAUUGUUGCUCGGGUUGGUGAAAAUAGAAAAGCUGUUGCAACUGCUGCUGAUAGUAGAAAAGAGAUGGUACAAAUGGAAUUAUGGCCAGCUUUGUCUUCUCAUGAGUGCUCUCCAUACACAUUCGUAACUCAAGAUGGUCAAAACAUACUACAUAUGUCAGCUGUUGCUUGUGCUGGGGAAAAUAGAAAAGCUGUUGUUGUUGCUGAUGCUGUUGAUAAUCGAAAAGCUGCUGCUGAUAACAGAAAAGAGAUGGUACAAAGUAUUUUGAAAUAUUGUCCGAAUAAAUACAUGGACAAGAUUUUGAAACAAAAGGAUAAAAAUGACGAUACUCCUCUCCAUCUACUUAUCUCCCAUGGUUGUUUUAUUCCGGGACUGAUAAAGCAUAAAGGACUUAAUACAAUGGCAAGAAACAAGAGAGAUUUUACUCCUCGGGACAUGCUCUAUGUUGAAGAUGCUACUGUUGCCGAUCAGGUACCUAAGGAACCUCACUCAUAUAUUUUACUAAUUGAUGAAAACUAGUUUUCUGUCUUUUAUGAAACAAAAAAUAACGAGGUACCGUAAACGGUAAAACCUGUAGUCUUGUUUAUUAUGAGUAUGUAUUAAAUGGUUACCUGUCUUUACCUUCCAUUCUUGUGAACCUUGCUAGCUAGAUCUUUAGCUAGAUCUUUGGCUGCAGAGACAGGCAGGAGCAAUUUUACUGCAUUGAUAUAUUUAAUAUCUCUAAAGUUUCAUCGCAGUCUUAUUAUAAAGGAUCAUGUCUCUGUAUCAAGAUUAUGAGUAAUUCUUUGUUGACCUUUUUCUAUAGGUGCAUAUUAAAAUUGCCCUUGACGAGGUCCUGACUAGUAAAUCAGGCUGGAAGCUUUGGGGUAAAAGAACAGAGAAGAAAGCGGAUAUUUGGAGAUGUAAUAAAACCCCCCCAAGUAAACGAAAGGAAAAGGAUGUGAAAUUUGAGGGAGAGAAGAAAAUUUUAGAGAAACAGAGGACAAAGGAUCGAAAAACAUAUAAAAUGAGGACCAACACCCAAAUACUAGUUACUGCACUGACAACCACAGUAACUUUUACGGUAGGAUUUACUAUGCCCGGUGGUCUCCAUCAAAGUGGAGAGGUUGACGAAGGACUAGUGGUUCUUUCCAGAAAGAGAGCUUUUACUGUAUUCAUGGUAUCGGAUGCACUAGCUCUACUCAUGUCAACAUCUUCAUUGUUUUUCUACUUCCUUGAGUCGAUGAAUGAAGAUAUCCACCAAGUGUCACUGCUUAAUGCUUCAUCAACUGUGCUUAACAUUCUUUCUAUUUCGGCAAUGAUGGUGACUUUUAUUGCAGGGACGUAUGUGGUCUUAUCCGACACACCAGUUCUUGCCAUAGCCAUUUGCAUCAUCGGUUCUCUCUUCUUUCUUCUUAUUCUUGUUCUAUGGAUCAUCAAGAUAGUAUUUGAUCGUUACAAAAGAAAUAAAGAUUGAGUAUGCAUGUCGUUAUUUGAACAUGUUUUAAUGAAUCUUCAGAUAUCAUGAUGUAUCGUGCAUGACUCCAAUAUCAAGUGAUCUGUAAUUGUGUAUCAUUCUUUUGUACCUAAUACUCGCUUAAUGAUCUCAAUAUGCAUUAUAACUAUUUCUGAAGCAUAGGUUACCGAAUAUCCUUCUUAAAGCUGGAGAAGGAAAGAGGACUUCAACUCCCUAUUAACCUUGAGUUACAUUAGAAGUCAGAACCAGCGUCUCUAUUUAUUUCAAAUAGAUCAUUUUAAACUAUGAAACUUUCUUUUGUUGUUAUAGAACUCUAUGCUAUGCAUUUUAUCCCAGUGAAUUAGCUCUACACUUAAUUUCAUUUGUUAGUUUGAAAUGGUCCUCCAACACAGCCUCAUAUUCUCCGCGUAAAAACUUGAAGAAAAUUUAUGUCUGGGCCCUUUAAUAUUUUAAAGAUAUAUAACAGUCCAAAUUUGAAGAAAAUUAAAGCAAAGAAUGUAUAUAAUGUAUCAGAAAAUUUCAAAUGCCACCUUGAUACUAUAUUUGAAUCCUAAAUUACUGGCAGUCCUGGACUCCUAGUGGUGCUGCAGUUCAGUACGUCAAUGAAUUCCCAGGUUGCUGGUAUAGGGACCGAUUAAAAAUAAUCCUAAUUUUAAGUUUCAACAACCUAUCAUAAGAAAAGGAGUAACUAAGAUAAAUGAACAUUCAGCUGUCAAAGAUGACUAGUACUCUCUUUUCCCUUUUAGGGGUAUUGUCCGAGAAUGUACAUGGACAAGAUCUUGAAACCGCAAGAUGCCAAUGGCGAUGCACCUCACCAUCUACUUAUUUCUAAUGGUUAUUUCUUACCAACAUUCGAAAAAUACAAAGGAUCGAAGUUUGUUUAUAGAAUGACAAAACCAAAAAAUUAUACUACUCAGCGCAUGUAAUUUACUGAUGAUAUUAAGACACCUCAUUUUUUUUUACUUAUCUACGAGAACAAGAUUUGUGCUCUUACCUUAACAGAGAAAGAAGAAAGUAGAGCUAAACGUAGAACUUUUAGUCCUUUUUACUAUGUGUAUUGUGUACAUAAUAAAUGGUUACCUCGUUUUCUUUUAUUACAAUUAACUCUACACUUCAGCAUGUUGCAUCAGAGGUGCUUAGGAGUGUAUUUACUGCAUUGACUUGUUAUUACUUCUAAAGUAUUAUCACCAAUACUAUAUUGGUGUGCCCAUUUUCCGCAGCUAUGAAGGGUGGAGUUUUACUUUCACUGUUUUAAAUAUGUCCAUCACUUGGAUCAGCCUCCACUAACAGCUUCACAAUAGGCAAGUGACCAUGCAGUGUCCAAAUGUCACUCAGCUUGUGUAAGAAAAGCUUGAAAAUCAUCAAUAGUUUCACAAGCCUUUCUGGCUGCAUCAAUAUGGAUCUCAACUACCUCAGCAUGUCCGUAAUAUGAUGCCUAGUGAAGUGCAGUUUGUCGAAAUGUAUCCAGCCUGUUCAAAUUAUUUUUGUUUGCGAACUCCUGCACAAUGAAUCGGACAUUCUCUGUAUUUCCAUGCUCAGAUUCAGUGUGAAGGAUGGUUCUAUCAUAUCCGAUCAGCACAUCAACUUGCAUCUCCAAUUUAGAUAUGACAACAGAAGCUCCAGCAACUGCAGCCAGAUACAAAGCAUCUUUAUCCAUUAUUAAAUAGUACUUCAAGUUUACUUUACCUAUCAAUUAUACAGAGGCUUGUACUUGUAUGUAUGAUAAAAAAAAUUUAGAUUAAGUAGAGACUAGUAGAUCAAUGUGAUAAUAACUGCUAAACUCACACUAACAAGGAGAAUGGGACUAAUCAUUUACCUUUCCCUUUACUAAUCACUCCCUGCAAAAUAUAUUUUUAAUAUAGUACAACUAAAUAUUUCAAUUGAGUUAUGAUCCAAAAUGGAUCUAAUUUUUUUGAUAAUAUUUUUCUCAUAUCCAAUUAAUUUUAGAUUUUAAAAGGUAGUAUAAUAUAGAAGACUUUAUUUCAUGUUAUAAUCUUCUAGCUAGAUAGAACUAAAAUUAAAAUAUUCAUUUUUAUUUUUCUCUACAGAGCAUCAUGUUCACAAUCAUUGACAUUUGGCUUCAAAAAUAUUGCUAUGGUAAGCAUUUAUCUGGCGAUGCGAUAUCUAAAGAAAGACUUUUCACUGGUGCAAUUCUUAUUUUGUUCUUACAAAAUUCACAAGAACUGAUAUGCUCUCAAUGCAAUUUCUUUACAAAGAGAUGGAUUCGGAAAAUAGCUGCCACUAAUGAAAAACUUCAGUCCUUUCACUAAUUUUAAAUGUCUACAUCCUCUUGACAACCGUUAACACUUACUGACAUCACGCUGUAGGAAAUAGAGCAGCUAAGUAGCAAUAUGUUGCUUCAUUAUAGUGCAACAAGCUGAAUAAAUAAAAUUGAAUUUAUUUGUCGCAGAUCAAGUCUGUUUGGCGAUCAAAUUGAAUAGGCGGUCACUAGAUCAUAUGCAUGUUUAAGCAUAUAAUCUUCUGCGUAAUAUGUUUCAUUCCACACUUAUCAAUUUUCUUACCUUUAUUCAACCUAGUAUUGUUAAUAGGAGUAACAGACACAUGUAUUCAUAUAAAACAAACUGGCCAAAACAGAUAAAAAUUGUGAUAGAAAACGUAUGAUUUCACAAUGUAAUAAAGAAUAUACUCUCAAAGCAAGCAUCUUUUAAUGGUCCCCUCAGUGUACAAUUUUGUUAGCAACUUAUCAUAGGACAAUUUCCAUUAUCUGGCAUGUAGCUGGUAGUUUAAUAGUGUGUCUUUACUAGUUGGUCUAAUUCUCUCCAUUUAUAUAGGAUGGAUUGAGUCCUUUUCUAAGAUGGGAUGAAUUGUAAGAACUUCAACAUUUACCAAUAAUUUACAAAGGUUGAUAACAGAUAUAUAGCAAUAUGCAAGUUAUGUUUUAUCCCAGCUAUUGUGUAAUGUAUGAACCUUCAACAAAUCAGAUCAAGGGAAAAGGUGCCGAAGGAAUGGACUCUAUUACUUGAUAAAACAUUUAAGCCAACACGUGCCAAAUGCCUAGCUGAAAAUACCUCAAAUGAAGCCUAUUGGAUCUCUUCUAGUCAACUCAACCACAAACAAUGAAUUGAAAGAAGUGAAAAGCAGAUGAAAUAAAUAGCCUGGAGUAAUGGCACAAUACACUGGGGCAUGCACCCAUGACCACGAUUAAACUGAUCAAAGCCAUUCAGACUACCGAGUAGCAAAAUGCAAAGGUAUGUGUGACAUGCCAUCUCUUUAAAUUUACUAGACUACCUUUCAAGUUGAGUAAAUCAUGUGCCGUAGAAAAGUUUGAUCUUAUACAUAUUGAUAUAUGGGGGACUUAUUAGCACUAAAAGGAAAUUUAGGUAUUUUCCAACUAUAGCUGACCAUCAUAGUAGAAAUACCUGGAUUUAUUUGCUAGAAUACAAGUCAGAUUAUCUAGCGAAUUUAGGAGAAUUUAUGAGAGUUAAAUGGCGUUUUAGUUACUCAACUGGCCGGAAACUUGAACUGGUCCAUCCAACUCAAAAAACUUUCAGUCACAUCAUUGUACAGUUAAAAACUUUCAUUCGGAUCACUGGCCGUUAAACUCCGUUAAAUAUUUGACGAAAAGCUGAGUAAGCUUGGUGACUUGACUUGUAUACAUCCAUCGUGACAUGUACAAUCAACUGAAGAGGCGUUUUAGUCACUAAACUAACUACAAAAUUGCAAUCGGUUCAUCAAACUCAAGAACUUUCAUUUGGGCCAUUGAUCAUAAUAUCCGUUAAGAAUUAAAAAAAAAACGAAGAGUUCUCCUGAAAUAUGUAAAAACACACUUUGACAUUAAACAAUUUGAUUUGAUAAUGCUUUUGAAUUUGACACACAAUUGUGUAUAGAAUUUUGCUCAAUGUCUUGCGUUCAAAGGCCCCAACAAAAUGCUAGCUAGACUGGAAAUGUAAACAUAGGCAUAUACUUGAAAUUGUUAGAGCCCUCAAAUUUUAAGCAGGUCUGCCAUUGUCCUUAAGGGGACUUUUGUACUCACAACUGUCUACAUAAUCAAUAGGCUGCCGACUCAUUGGGUCGCGCAACACCCGUUAACUCCGCAUUAGUAUGAUAUUGUCAGCUUUGGGCCGUGGCCAAGCACGCACGGAUUUGUUUUCGGGCUCCUCCCAAAAGGUCUCAUACUAAUGGAGUUCUUUGGCUGCUUAUAUUCAACCUUAUACCGCCGCUACUCAUUGGUUCCUCAUCUUGCGGGACACGUCGUCCGACCACCUUAGUCAGAAAGACUUUCGACACAAGCCGUCCAAGACCUCCAAUCGUAGUUCAGCACAAGCCGUCCAAGACCUCCAAUCGUAGUUCAGCAGAGCCUCCCUCCACAUCACACAUCUGUAGCCCGCAACCCCAGGAUCAACUUUUCAACCUGGCUCUCAUACCACUUUGUUGGGUCGCGCAACACCCGUUAACUCCGCAUUAGUAUGAUAUUGUCCGCUUUGAGCCGUGGCCAUGCCCGCACGGAUUUGUUUUCGGGCUCCUCCCAAAAAGGCCUCAUACUAAUGGAGUUCUUUGGCUGCUUAUAUUCAAGAUAAAUCUUCUUUAUUUUUUCGAUGUGGGACUUGGGUUGAACCCACUUAACAAGACGAUGAAAAUAAAGGUAAGAAAAUAAUAAUAUGAAAUGACGAUGAAUCUAUACUUGUGUUCUGUGUUAUCCGCGGAUACCCCGAAGUGUCCACGUCACAACCUCGCGGAAGACACAGUAUCCGUGGGAAAAAAACGCUGAUAGUUACAAAAAUUUCUUUUGUCUGAGCUGUUGGAUGGGAAAUAGUAUGUUGGAUACAAUCAAUUGUCAGGGAACAGGACCCUAAAUACAAUGCUCAUAAGCCAAAAAUAGUAUAUAUUAUUCAGUUUUCUUAAGGAGCCAUCUGUCGCAGACUACAAAUAAAAUAGUGUUAGUCCGCACAUAUUUUAGUUGUGCUCAAGGCAUGGGCAUGGCUGCAAGGGCCAUUUUCGACAGGAACUAAAUAAUGGGUCCUUUUCAGCUCUCUUUUAACAGGUUACCGACUUACGUUCACUUGAAAGUAUUGUAAUUAUUAAUUAGACGACCUUAAAACAUUAAGUAACCUUUAAACGCAUAAAUCUCAUUUUGAGGAGAUAAAUUUGCAAAAAUUAUAAAGGUGAUUUCAAUAAAUAUUUUGUACUUUUGAAAUUUAACUUGAAAGGAACUUUUAACAUAUAGUAUUUGACAUCUUUGUUUCAGAAAAAGAGUUUUACAGGUGAGAUGGUUCUCAUACUAGAGAAGACUCGAACAAUGUAUGUGGAUUAUUGAGAAAUACUCCUAUAGGCUAUAAGGAAUUGAAAAGACGAAAAAAUUUCAGGACACCUGAUAUCCCUUUGUGCAAGGGCUUUAUACCGGAUUCAAUUUAAGAGACUCUUGUUUUUUUUUUUUUUGAAUAAAUGAGUUCAUUCAAUAAUAAAAGGCCAUGUUUUUUUUUUUUUUGAAUAAAUGAGUUCAUUCAAUAAUAAAAGGCCAUACGGGGCAUUUACAUAAACAGUCGCGUCGAACAAACAAAAUACAGAAACAAUCACCGAUCAAUCCAUUCUUAUUGGAGAUAAAAUCACGUGAUUUGUUGAAGAUGAUAUAUACUGGAUUCAGUUUAAGAGACUCUUGUUAGAAAUUGCCUUAAUAUAGAUUAAUAGAGUAAAUUUAAUUAAAAUAUACGUGUGGGGGCGCAGAAUAUUUAAAAAUUUAAUACAAAGAAAAGUUCUAGAAACUUUUUUUUAGGAGGACAUGGUGCUCCUGAUACUAAAGAACCCCCGAGCAGUCUAUGUUAAUAAUUGAGAAAUAUAAUUACUAAAUAAAAGCAAAUGGAUAGACAAUGGAUUGAGAGUGCUUGCAGAGAAGAAAAUUCUUCUCUGGGAAAUAAUUUAUAGGAUUAUAAAAUGUCAAAACAGUUACUGUUACUCAUUUAAGUCUAUAGGACACUGUAGGGCAAGAGAGUACUGUGGAUUCUAGCUUAUACUUCCAACAGCAUUCUAGCUUAUACGUCUGUGAAUGCAAACCAAAUAAAUAAGCUGUGUUUAGUUUCUUGCCUUUGGAAAUCAUUAUUGAAGCUUAGUGCCUAUCUCUUCUGUUGCAUCAUGGUUAUUUAAUCGACAUUCAAAAUGGUUAACCCACUGGAAUAUAUCUUUCCCAAGCAUCGGUUAUUAGAACUUUUAUUAUCUGUUCCACUUUACUCACAGUCUCUCAUGUUGGUAUCAACAGAUGUUCCUAGAGCUACAUCUAGCAGACUAGCAUUACAGCUUAAAGAAUGUUACAGAAUCAUCUAACCAUUGUCUGAUUAUUUUGAGCUCAAGAUUUCAGUGAGUAGUUUAUUUGUUAAUAUCUCUGCUACAUAUAUACUACGUAUUAUAAUUUAUAGAGUAAUUAACAGUUUGCAUCCCCUAACUUAGGUGGUUUUUGGCUUUUUGCGAUUUGGUAACGUAUUUAUAAUGUUGGCACUAUGCCUCCCAUAGCUUAUAAAAGUUAAACAAACUACAGCCCAGUGUGCUCUCUCCGUUAAGACAGUAACGGUUGACGUUAUUGUGCAAGGGUAAAGUGAGCAUUGACGUUAUUGUGCAAGGGUAAAGUGAGCAAUUCAUGUAUAAAAUAUAUAAUAGUAAUGCAAUACAAAGCCAACACUUUCCACAUCUUCUCCAUCACAGCAAAUCUUAUUCAUCACAGCAAGCUAAAUAAGUAAUGUAGACAGCCAGCUAAAUAAGUAAUGCAAGUCAAAUUUCAAAUUUUUUAAUAAUUUUUCACUUGACUGAAAUUAAUAUAUCAUAACAUCCGUACAGUUGGAUCGUUGAAAAAAUAAUUUUAAUAAUUCAUUUCGUUAAUCAGGAAUGAAUCUCAUUUUAAGGAAUAGUACUUCUUAUUAGAUUUUUCUUAUAAAGUCAUGCAAGUCAAAUUUCAAAUCUUUUAAUUAUUUUUUCGCAUGACUAGAACCAAUAUAUCUUAACAUCUGUAAAGUUGGAUUGUUGAAAAAAAAAUAUUUUAAUAAUUAAUAUAUGUAACAUCCGUACAGUUGGAUCGUUGAUUAAAUUAUUUCGAAAAAUUAUUAUAUUAAUUAGGAAUGAAUCGCAUUUUAAGGAGUAAUACUUCUUAUUGGAUAUUUCUUUUACAAAGUCAUGCAAGUUAAAUUUCAAAUUUUUUAAAUUAUUUCACCCAAAAUAAAUAUAUUUCUAUUCAUAUUUAAAAAUGGGUAGAUAUUUUAAUUUUAAACUAGAUAAAUUUUAACAUGUAAUGAAAGUAAUUAGAUUUAGGAAAGAUAAAUUUGACAGCCAGCUGUCAAAUUUGACCGAUUUCAUUUUUGACCGAAGGCCGUCAAAAUUAAUGACGUCAGCCCUAAUUUUUUUGGAGGGAAUUUUUCCUCCUAUUUUUUGAGGGACCCGCAUACUAAAUAUGACCGAAUAAAUUUCACCGGUGCUAAAUUUGACCUUUUUGGUCAAAUAUGAAAGCGGUCAAAAAUAGUCGGUUAAUUUUAACUUUGACUUGAUAUCAUACGAAGUUGACCUUGAAUUUGACUGGUCAAAAAUAAUCGGUCAAAAAAUACCUGGUUUUUCUUGUAGUGGGGAUUUGAAGGGAUGAUGUUGGGCGGGAAUGAUCAGACAAGGAGGUUAUUUGUUUUUUUAUUACAUUACAUUCUUACAACAGACGCUGCAUCACUAGUCAAUAACAUUGACCGUCAUCUUUUAACUGAGAGAGCACACUGGGUUGUAGUUUGUUUAACUUUUAUAAACUGAGGGGGGCAUAGUGCCAAUAUUAUAAAUAUACCUUACCAUAUCGCAAAAACGACCUAAGUUAGGGGAUGCAAACUGUUAAUUACUCUAAUUUAUAAAUGAACUGCUAAAAUUUUACCAGCUCCUAUUAACGACGAACUUCUUUCUGCUUUUGGUACGAAAGGCUAUAUUAAUACCUGUAUAAGAUGAAUAGAACUAACAAUACCUACUGAAAAUCAAAUGGGAUGGUGGGGUUUUUUGUUUGCUUGUGUACGGAUAAUGAUCAAUAUGGAAAUUGUAGUAAGCAGUGAUCAGUUUAAAGUUGUGAAAAUAGAAUGAUGGGCUCCAGGGACUUAUUAAAUUUUUCUUGAUUUCCAUCUCAUCUCAUUCACUCAAAGGACUGCAACAUUAAAAUAGUGAAGUCAGCACAGCGUCCUGAUGGGCUCACAGUCAAAGUUGCCAUCAUUUCACUACAAGGAAAACAGCAUCAGACAAGCGUUUUUGCCCGUUGUCUGAUACCAAGAAAAACCGUGGUCUAUUGCGAUGCCGUCUGAUACGCGCCUCAGACAACGGUACUGACCGUUGUGUGAGAUGAAGAAACACAUCGGUUUAUGUUUAACUGCGUGUUGUGUUAAACCAUUGAACGACAACGGAAUCAUUUUACAAGGUGUUGUUGUAAACCAUUAACAACAACAGACUUGUUUUCAAUUCGUGUUGUUAUUAAGAGUAUCCACAACAGUUCACGGGUUUACCCAGUUGUUGAUAAGAGUAUCAGACAAGUUUAGUUCUGUUACUACAGCUCGUGUGUUGCUUUCUUGUACAAUGGUCCGACAGAAGUGGCCACAUGUGUAAGGGUCCAUAUCACAAUACUUUUUAUACUAGAACUAUUGUGUGAAUCCUUUUCUACAAUAGUUUUUGUUUUGAGAUUCUCGAGUGAUAUUGCUUUAGACAAGUAUUGUUCUGUUAUUAGGGCUCGUGUUUUGCUAUCUUGUACAAUGGUCUAGGAGGAAUGACCACUUGUGUAAGCCUCCAUAUAACAAUACUUUCUAUGUUGGAACAAUUGUGUGAAACAUUUUCUACAACAGUUUUUAUUUUGAGAUUCUCGAGUGAUUGUGCUUUAGACAAUGGUUUGUGAGUACUAUUUACUUAUAUGUAUAGGUCUUAGACAACGCUUUUGUUCUUAAUAUUGUGUCGUUUGUCUGGUUUGGGACAACUGUUUUCUUCAUCUACUUUGUUGUCUCUUAAAAAUAUGAACAAUUGUUUUUGUUUCAUUACUCUUGUAAGUCAUUUGUUUGGACAAUGGUUUAAUAAAAAAGAGUAAUUUUUUAAGUUUUUGUGAGACAAUACUUUUUAUCACAGUGGCUAUUGUAUAAUGUUGUUUAUAACAAUGGUUAUUGACAUGUCUCAUUAGCUGAAAAUGUCAUAGACAAUGGUUUUAUCAGAGUGACCAUUGUAUUAUGUGACUUGUAACAAUGGCCCUUUACAUGUUCCAUUAGGUAAAAGUACAACACACAAUGGUUUUCCAUGAUUCAAAUAUGCUAGCCUAGACAAUAUAAUUAAUAAUGCCAAAAAUUGAAAAACAGAAGUUUUCAUUACCAACAAACCAACCAGUACAAACAAAAUACCAACCAACAACUACCAAACUAUAUAUCCACCAAGUAAUAAUAUUCACCAACCAAUAUUCACCCAAGAACCAACAAUUCCAUCCAACAAAAAAUUUUUACAUGAAAAUAAACAACUCCUGACUGGCCAAUGUUAAUAUAUUUUUGGAUGCACAUAUCCAAAAAAGAGAGACAAGUCUGAUUGCAUGCAACAAGAACAACAAUCUAAGUCAACGACAACUCCCAAAAUAUAUAUAUAUGUGCAUCCUAAAAUAAACCAGUCAUGUAAGCGGCUUAACUAGCAUGCUGCCUCAUGAAAUACUUCGCCCACGUACACUUCAUUUCAUUGAGGUCAUCGGUAUCACAAACAAUGUUGGUCCUCCGCGCCCACUGAAAUAAUAGAAAUUAUUAGUGCAGGCGAGCAAUGAAAAAUGAUGACAAAAGUUAUGCACAAAACACAAGCAUACUAACACAGAACUGGAAAUUGUACUUUUUAUACCUUUGUUGCAAACUUCAGUUCCUUGUCGAGACAGAUUUCCUUCAUAUAAUGCAUUAGAAAAAGACCACAAUCAGUGGUCCCAGUCUGGGCAGGAACUCCCUACAAAAAAAAAUUAUCACAUAAAAUGCUUAUAAAAGACCCAGAAAUUAAUAAGACUUCAAGUUUGAGAAUAUUUAUACCGCUAAAUUCUCCCAAUUUAUUUUCUUCUUAACAAACCUCUUCAGGUCCUCCUUGUAAAUUUUGAUGCCACUACAACAAAAUAAAAUGAAAGAGCAUAAAUACAUUUUUCCUUAGUUGAUUCAUAAAUUAACAUAGAGUUUUUGUACUCACUUGUUAACCACUUCGGUCCAUUCUUCAUUUGCGAUUCGUCUCUUUAACGGGUCCAUAUGGUAAACCAUUUGUGCAUCUGGAUUAACCACAGUAAGUGCCCAGUGGUUCCUACAAGAAAAAACCAAGUCAUCCUUCAACUUUUAUUUAUUAUUUUUAAGUAAUUGACCGAAGUGGUAUUGAUUAAUAAUCACGUUAAAAAAGAAAAAAGACAUGUACUUACGUGUGGUGAUAUGGCAAAAGAAAAACUUGGCCUGGCUUGGCAUUUUUGAAUCGAAGAGACAGGGCACGUGACCUCUCUGCCGGAGUACCACAACCAAUGGCGCCAAUCUUGGCCGGAUUAACAAAAGUGAUCAUGUCUGUCAUUUUGUGUUUUCUCAAAUUAUCUUGGAGAACACUGCAUAAAAAGAAGUAAACAACCAUCACCAAAAAGUAUAAAUUGCAUCGAGGAACUAAUAUAAAAGUAUAGGAAAAUUUUCAAAUUUGGCACUUACUUGAUAAACAUGCAAAUGACCGCUCCUGAAAUUGCACCUCCAAAGCACAAAGCUUUCAUAUCUGAUUGAAACAAACGCUUCCUAUCCUUCGAUCCAAAAGCCUCUUCGGAUAACUGAAAAGUGUGUGAGCGACCAUCUUUCAAAGAAUCGCUUGCCCAAAGCCAUAAUUUCUUCAAAUCAACAGGAAAGUCAGGGCCCAUGGUAACCGCAUACUCUGGUUCCGAGACCAAGUCAUUCAUCUUCUUCAUUUUCCUUGCGCCAUUUUUCUUGCCUCCCUGUAAAUAAAAAUUAAAAACAAAAUUAGAAGACAAAACUAAAAUAGACCAGCUAAGUGAUUUGAGAAUUAUAUAACUUAAUAUUAAUAACAAAUCUAAGUAUCCACAUAAUUAGUCCAAAUAACAUGUUAAUAAUCUAUCUUAUUAUAUUACAGAUUUUCUUAAUAAUGGAUAGCCAUGUAAAUCAAAAUAAAUAAAAUGAAAACUAAGUACCUUGGUACAUAUGACAGGCAUAUACAACAAUUAUCUUAUAUUAUUUCACCUAUAUUUUUAGUGUAAUACUUAACAAGAUAAAUGACAAAGAAAAGAUGGGGUGUGUACAAGUACCUUCACAGUUCUAGAUUUCACCAGAUCAUCACUUGUUGCCUUCACUUCCCGUAAGUGGUUUCUCGGCCACGCAAUAAAUGUCCCAACAGCUUGUUCAACAGUGGUGAUCUCAUCUUCAAUUGGAAACGGGAUCUGAGCAGCUCCUUGAAUUACAUGAGUAAUGGAGACUCGUGCAUUAUCUUUUCCAAUUGGCUUUCCAUGAAGAACAGUACAAUCCAUGUCAACUGUUGCAUGUGCAACAACAUUGUUGGGCGUUUCAAUAGACAAUUCCCAUAGAGAAGGACACUCAUUUUUCAAUGCAGUGUCCAUAGGGUCAUCCACAACUACUACCUCAGCUCCCUUCUGUUCACCAUUUCUCUUCCCUUGAAAACCAUCUGUUUCUUCAAUAUUUUUCUUCCCUUCAACAUCAUCUUUAAAACCAAACUCAUCUUUUUCCGAAUCUUUCCCUUCAGCAGAACCAAGAUCUUCAUUGAGAUCCAAUUUCUUUCUCGCUGCUAAAUCCAACUCCACAUUAUCAAGUACGCCUUUAGAACAACUUCCUUGUUGUGAUCCAAUAUUUGGACUCCCAUCAAAACACAAUUUCUUUCCAACUAAAGCUUCUUUGAGCUUGGCCAUUUCUGCAGCCCAAAAUGCAUCUCUAUCUCGAAUAAUCCUAUCAGUCUCUUCACUCAUAAACUUUUGAAUACCUUCCUGUAUCUUCUCUUCAAUUGUUCGGCUUUUUCUCUUUUGUCUGGGAAGAUUGAAGUAGACAGAUUGUUUGACAUAACUCCCUUGACCACGGACCCAUCCGCGGUGCUCAGGAUUCCCAAGAACUUUGGUCAACACAUCAUCUAUGCCUAACUCUAUCACAUCCCCUUCAUGAACUUUCUGCUUCAUCUUCACCUAUAUUAAACAAACACACUUUGAAAUCCAUGGAAUUNNNNNNNNNNNNNNNNNNNNNNNNNNNNNNNNNNNNNNNNNNNNNNNNNNNNNNNNNNNNNNNNNNNNNNNNNNNNNNNNNNNNNNNNNNNNNNNNNNNNNNNNNNNNNNNNNNNNNNNNNNNNNNNNNNNNNNNNNNNNNNNNNNNNNNNNNNNNNNNNNNNNNNNNNNNNNNNNNNNNNNNNNNNNNNNNNNNNNNNNNNNNNNNNNNNNNNNNNNNNNNNNNNNNNNNNNNNNNNNNNNNNNNNNNNNNNNNNNNNNNNNNNNNNNNNNNNNNNNNNNNNNNNNNNNNNNNNNNNNNNNNNNNNNNNNNNNNNNNNNNNNNNNNNNNNNNNNNNNNNNNNNNNNNNNNNNNNNNNNNNNNNNNNNNNNNNNNNNNNNNNNNNNNNNNNNNNNNNNNNNNNNNNNNNNNNNNNNNNNNNNNNNNNNNNNNNNNNNNNNNNNNNNNNNNNNNNNNNNNNNNNNNNNNNNNNNNNNNNNNNNNNNNNNNNNNNNNNNNNNNNNNNNNNNNNNNNNNNNNNNNNNNNNNNNNNNNNNNNNNNNNNNNNNNNNNNNNNNNNNNNNNNNNNNNNNNNNNNNNNNNNNNNNNNNNNNNNNNNNNNNNNNNNNNNNNNNNNNNNNNNNNNNNNNNNNNNNNNNNNNNNNNNNNNNNNNNNNNNNNNNNNNNNNNNNNNNNNNNNNNNNNNNNNNNNNNNNNNNNNNNNNNNNNNNNNNNNNNNNNNNNNNNNNNNNNNNNNNNNNNNNNNNNNNNNNNNNNNNNNNNNNNNNNNNNNNNNNNNNNNNNNNNNNNNNNNNNNNNNNNNNNNNNNNNNNNNNNNNNNNNNNNNNNNNNNNNNNNNNNNNNNNNNNNNNNNNNNNNNNNNNNNNNNNNNNNNNNNNNNNNNNNNNNNNNNNNNNNNNNNNNNNNNNNNNNNNNNNNNNNNNNNNNNNNNNNNNNNNNNNNNNNNNNNNNNNNNNNNNNNNNNNNNNNNNNNNNNNNNNNNNNNNNNNNNNNNNNNNNNNNNNNNNNNNNNNNNNNNNNNNNNNNNNNNNNNNNNNNNNNNNNNNNNNNNNNNNNNNNNNNNNNNNNNNNNNNNNNNNNNNNNNNNNNNNNNNNNNNNNNNNNNNNNNNNNNNNNNNNNNNNNNNNNNNNNNNNNNNNNNNNNNNNNNNNNNNNNNNNNNNNNNNNNNNNNNNNNNNNNNNNNNNNNNNNNNNNNNNNNNNNNNNNNNNNNNNNNNNNNNNNNNNNNNNNNNNNNNNNNNNNNNNNNNNNNNNNNNNNNNNNNNNNNNNNNNNNNNNNNNNNNNNNNNNNNNNNNNNNNNNNNNNNNNNNNNNNNNNNNNNNNNNNNNNNNNNNNNNNNNNNNNNNNNNNNNNNNNNNNNNNNNNNNNNNNNNNNNNNNNNNNNNNNNNNNNNNNNNNNNNNNNNNNNNNNNNNNNNNNNNNNNNNNNNNNNNNNNNNNNNNNNNNNNNNNNNNNNNNNNNNNNNNNNNNNNNNNNNNNNNNNNNNNNNNNNNNNNNNNNNNNNNNNNNNNNNNNNNNNNNNNNNNNNNNNNNNNNNNNNNNNNNNNNNNNNNNNNNNNNNNNNNNNNNNNNNNNNNNNNNNNNNNNNNNNNNNNNNNNNNNNNNNNNNNNNNNNNNNNNNNNNNNNNNNNNNNNNNNNNNNNNNNNNNNNNNNNNNNNNNNNNNNNNNNNNNNNNNNNNNNNNNNNNNNNNNNNNNNNNNNNNNNNNNNNNNNNNNNNNNNNNNNNNNNNNNNNNNNNNNNNNNNNNNNNNNNNNNNNNNNNNNNNNNNNNNNNNNNNNNNNNNNNNNNNNNNNNNNNNNNNNNNNNNNNNNNNNNNNNNNNNNNNNNNNNNNNNNNNNNNNNNNNNNNNNNNNNNNNNNNNNNNNNNNNUGAGCGCGAAACCGUUGUGUUAUUCACACAAUGGUUUAUAUAAAAUAAACCAUCAUAAGAAGACCAAUUCUACAAUGACACAGACAAAAACCAUUGUGUCAUAAAAUUAUCAACAAUGGUUUAUUAGACGCAAACACUUGUCUCAUUAUUAAGUGCUUUUGUUCCUAAAAUAGGCCACCCGUAAACAAAUCAAAGUACGCAACAUAUAUUGCUAUAAACGAGUACAUUAUAGCAAAAGACUAGUAUUAUCAUACAUUCUAUUCGCUUAUUAACAAAUUAGCAUGAUAUUUUAAGUAUCUUGUAACAUUCGAUACACAUUACUCUUGUUAAUUUACAGCAUUAUAGUUUGUUACACGAUAUAUGACUAUGAUGUAUUGAAUUCUGAUACUGAUAUUGUUGUUGUUUGUAAUUCUUUUUCUAAUCGUCAUUCCUAUAUAAACACCGAAGGUCGGACUUGAUUAAUUUACGAUAAUAUGUAUAACAGAACCACUAGAAUCGGGUAUAUCCUAUUAAGUAUCAAUGAUGUAGUCAUAAUUACCACUGUAAAACACACAUCUCGACAAGAUUUCAUACCGAAACUAUAAAGUAAGAGAAAUAUAUCAUAUAUAAAUAUGUAAUUGUUACUGUAGUGGGUCAUUUGCGUUUUUGACGGGACAUAUAUUGUUAAUCGGUACGGUAAAGAAUGAAAUUAUUCGUGAAAAAUCCAUUAACAUUCAAACAACGGUUUAAUCAGGAAAGUAUUGUUGUAACGUAUUUCAGAUAACGGUUGCAGACCGCCAAACCGUUGUGUUAUUCACACAAUGGUUUGUAUAACUGAAACCAUCGUAAGAAGACAAAUUCUACAACGAGAGAGCAAAAAACCAUUGUGUCAUUCAUUUAUUAACAACGGUUUUUUAUGCCCAAACACUUGUCUAAUAAUUAAGUGCUUUUGUUCCUAAAUAGGCCACCCGUAAACAAAUCAAAUUACGCAACAUUGUAAAUAAACGAGUACAUUAUAGCAAAAGAUUACUAUUAUCAUACAUUUUAUUCGCUUAUUAACAAAUUAGCAUGAUAUUUUAAGUAUCUUGUAACAUUCGAUACACAUUACUCUUGUUAAUUUACAGCAUUACAGUUUGUUACACGACAUAUGACUAUGAUGUAUUGAAUUCCGAUACCGAUAUUGUUGUUGUUUGUAAUUCUUUUUCUAAUCGUCAUUCCUAUAUAAACACCGAAGGUCAGACUUGAUAAAUAUUUGAUAAUAUGUAUAACAGAACCACUAGAAUCGGGUAUAUCCUAUUAAGUAUCAAUGAUAUAGUCAUAAUUACUACUGGAAAACACACACCUCGACAAGAUUUCAUACCGAAACUAUAAAGUAAGAGAAAUAUAUCAUAUAUAAAUAUUUAAUUGUUACUGUACUGGGUCAUUUGCGUUUUUGACGGGACAUAUAUUGUUAAUCCAUACGGUAAAGAAUGAAAUUAUUCGUAAAAAAUCCAUUAACAUUCAAACAACGGUUUAAGCAGGAAAGUAUUGUUGUAACGGCUUUCAGAUAACGGUUUCUUACCGCGAAACCGUUGUGUUAUUCACACAAUGGUUUAUAAAACUGAAACCAUCGUAAGAAUACAAAUUCCACAACGACUCUGUUAAAAACCAUUGUUUUAUAAGCCGAUGAACCACAGUUUUCUGUUAGUAAAAGCUUGUCUAAUUAGGAACUUUUUUGCCACCUACUUUACACAAUUCGAACUUGCUUUUAUGAAAUCAUUUAAUACAAUAUCUUUGUCAUUACCAAAUCUUUGUCUGAAUUGAAACCGAUUACCAAAUCUGGGCGACAAAUAUCCUCUCUACCCGACAAAAAUCUUCACAUCUCAUCUUCACAUAUCAAUCUCCACAUCUCAUCUUCACAUCUCAAUCUCCACAUCUCAAUCUCCAUCUUCAUCUCCGACGAAGAACACAAUCUUCUCAAGAUCUCAUUCUGUGAAAGGUCUCAUUCUCUAACCAAGAACACAAUCAAGCCUCAAUCUCAUUCUGUGAAAGGUCUGACUUCAAGGUAUUACGCGCACUCAAUCUCAUUCCUAGCAUUUUUAUGUAAUUUGUGAUGAGUUCGAUUUAAUUUUUUUGAAAUUAGGGUUCAUACGUAAUAUUUGGGGAUUUUGGAGAAUGUAUGGGAUUUUGAGAAAUUAAAACUAGGGUUCGUGCUCACUUUUGGAAUCUGUAGCUAAUACAUUAUUUACAAGCAACUAUGUAGCUAAUUUAUCAAGCAAAUUUGCUAUUCCCUCUGUUAACAUCUCUAAUUUGCUAUUUCCUUUGUUAAAAUCUCUAAUCUGUAGCUUUUGCUUUUUACUUAAAAAUGAUCAUAAUAUAGUUGUAGUAAACUGAUUAUAUUUUUAAUGUUCAAUAGAUGGACAAGUCUUGGUUGAAGGCUGAUAGAAGAACAAAGGAAUUUCAAAGAGGAGUAGAUGAACUAUUGUUGUUUGCAUUUGAGAACGGAUUUGAUGAAAACAAAAUCAGCUGCCCGUGUUUAAAAUGCGCACAUAGUAAAUCUUGGAAAGCUAAAACAGUGAAGUGCCAUCUUUUUGAAAAUGGAAUUGAUCAGACCUACACUCGUUGGAUUUGGCAUGGUGAAUUAAAUACGGAAAGUGUAUCUCCCGCUGAAGAGACGGCCAGUUCUGAUUCUGUGGACCAAAUCCCUAUCAAUGCAGAGAAUAAUGAUAGUGAUGAUGAUGUUUCUCUUGAUUCCUCAGAUUUCUUUAACCAUGUUAAAUCUGAACAUGAACCACUUUAUCCGGGAUGUGAAGGAUUUACAAAGAUGAAGGCUUUAGUGAAGUUGUAUAACUUGAAAGCAAAAUACCAAGUAUCGGAUGCUUGCUUCUCUGAACUUCUUCUACUGGUUGGAUCUAUGCUUCCGAAAGGCAACCAUUUUCCUUCUUCAUUCAGCGAGGCUAAGAAAAGCUUGUGUGCUCUUGGAAUGGAGUAUGAAAAAAUUCACGUGUGUCCAAAUGAUUGUUUAUUAUACCGAGGAGAAAGAGAUGAAGAUGAGACAAGUUGUCGUAUCUGUCAAGCAUCUAGAUGGAAGUUGAACAAAAAAGGAGAAGAAUUGGAAGGGGUUCCGGCAAAGGUUCUAUGGUAUUUUCCGUUAAUACCACGUUUGAGGACUUUAUUCAAUUCUCCUCAAAUAGCUAAAAAUAUGAUUUGGCAUGACACGGGGAGAAUAAAAGAUGGUAAAUUAAGACAUCCGGCAGAUUCAAAAACAUGGAAGGAUGUCGAUGAAAAGUGGCCCGAGUUUUCUUCAGAUUCUAGAAAUGUCCGGUUAGCUUUAUCCUCGGAUGGAUUCAAUCCUUUUUAUAGCACAAAUGUUGAUUACUCUUGUUGGCCAGUAUUGAUGUCAAUAUAUAAUCUCCCACCAUGGCUUUGUAUGAAAAGGAGGUACAUCAUGCUAUGUUUAUUGAUAUCCGGACCAAAAGAACCCGGCAAUGAUAUCGAUGUGUUCUCUCAACCGCUUAUUGAAGAUUUACAAAAGUUAUGGACCGGAAAACAAGUUUAUGACGCAUACAAGAAGGAGUACUUUUUGCUGCGACGCAUUUUAUUAUGGACAUUUAGUGACAAUCCAGCCUAUGGUAACCUUUCAGGGAACAUUGUAAAAGGGUAUAAUGCGUGUCCUGUUUGCGUUGAUGGAACAAAAGCAACAAGGCUGGCUAAUUACCGUAAUUGCGUGGUCAUGAGGCAUCGGAGGUGGUUGCCCCGUGCACAUCCAUAUCGCAGGAAGAAAGAAGAUUUUGAUAACAUUGUGGAAAAGGGAACUGCCCCUAUUCCAUUAACCGGGGAGGAGGUGCUUCAGAGAACAAAACACUUAAAGGGUCAUGUCUUUGGUAAGACACAACGCCAACCUCGAUUCAAGAAAGGUGAUGUUCGACCUAUUUUUAAGAAGGUUUCUAUAUUUUUUGAACUUGAGUAUUGGAAGUUUCUGCCGGUUAGACACGUUCUCGAUGUGAUGCACAUCGAGAAAAACAUUUGCGAAGCUUUACUUGGUACUAUGCUUAAUAUACCCAAGAAGACAAAAGAUAAGGAAUCUGUCCGGCUAGACAUGGCUGAAAUGGGAAUAAGAACGGAGCUAAGGCCAAAGAAUCCCGGGAGAAAGGAGAAGUUACCAUUGGCAUCUUGGAAUUUAACUCAUUCGGAAAAAAAAGUAGUUUGCUCAUCAUUUCUUGGCAUGAAGUUGCCUGAUGGCUUUUGUUCAAAUAUUAGAAGUUUAGUUUCAAUGGAAACUCUUCGACUUACUGGAAUGAAAUCUCACGACUGCCAUAUGAUCUUGCAUCACUUGCUCCCAAUUGCGAUACGAUCGUCACUGCAAAAACAGGUCAGAAACACUGUCAUCAGGUUUUGUCUCUUUUUUAAGGCAAUUUGCAGUAAAGUUAUUGAGGUUGAUAAGUUGGAGAAAAUGCAAUCCCAGCUGGUGGAAACUUUGUGCCACCUUGAAAAGUACUUCCCCCCUUCCUUGUUUGAUGUGAUGUUUCAUCUCUCGGUCCAUCUUGUACGAGAAGUAGAGCUUUGUGGACCAAUUUUUUUGAGGUGGAUGUAUCCAUUUGAGAGAUAUAUGAAGACAUUUAAAGGGUAUAUAAGAAAUCGGGCUCGCGCAGAAGGUUGCAUAGCUGAGGCCUAUAUUGCAGAAGAAGCUGUUGAGUGUUUGGUGAACCAUGAGGAGGCUACUGUUGGGAUACCAAAAAAUGGCAGGCAUAGGAAUGAUGCUGUUUGUAGGCCAUUAUCUGGUGCAUCAGUUAUAACUCCGAGCGACAAUGAUUUGCAUUUAGCCCAUUUAUGUGUUUACAAAAUACGGCUUCGGUUAGGCCAUAUUUUAAGUAAGUCAUUUCUUAAUUUUCUGCUUAAUUGUCAAAUUAUAUAUCAUUAUUCUAUUAUUUACAUAGUCUUUUCUAAUUGUAUGCAGUGAACACAUGUGUUUUUUGAUGACCAAAUAUCCGGAAAAUGAAAAUAAUGAAAUGUGGCUAAAGAAUAAGCAAAAUGAGACAUUCCCAGAAUGGUUCAAAGAAAAGGUAUUAUGUGCACUUUAUUUAUAGCAUUUCUGUGCAUUUUUAAAACUGUCACAUAAGUCAUUUAUAACUUUUAUGAUGUUCUGGGCAGAUUGCUUCAAAUUUUCUCGACGAAAUGGAGAUAUCACAAGAAAUCAGAUGGAUCGCAGAUGGGCCCAAUAAGGAUGUCCCUACAUUCAAUGGUUACAAAAUGGAUGGGAUUACCUUUAGCACCAAAGAUCGUGAUGAUACACGUAAUGUUCAGUGCAGUGGCGUGUGUGUUCAAGCCGAUACCAUGGUUGUGCAGGGGAAGGAUCAAAUUGUUGAGCAUGCCUCGCCUACAUUUUAUGGAGUGAUAAUAGGUAUAUGGGAGUUAGACUAUAACAACUUUAGGAUCCCUAUUUUUCGUUGUAAUUGGAUUGAUAUGAAUAGAGGGACUAAGGUAGAUGACUUGGGUUAUACUUUGGUUAAUUUGAAUAGGUUGGGGUUUUUUAAUGAUCCAUUUGUGUUAGCAAAACACGUUAAACAAGUAUGUUACAUAGAUGAUCCUCUUGAUAAAUUAUGGUCCGUGGUGUUGAAAUUACCCGAGAAAAACUAUCAUGAGGACAAUGAUGAAGAAAAUGAGGGAUCCGUGGAAGUAGAACUUGAGAAUGAGUUCUUUAUACCAAAUUUGCCGGAUGUUGAUUUAGACGAGGCAACAACUAGUUAUAUGCGAGACGUAGAUGAACUAAUUCAACUUUUAUGAUGUAAUUUUAUUUGAUUCUUAGUUUGGUGAUGAACUAAACUAACUUUCAUGAUGUAAGUUGGUUUCUUUGUUUUUAUCUCUGUUGGUUGGCUCUGUUCUGAGUCAGAUCUGUUAGAUUUGUUGGUGUGCCUCUGUUUUGAGGCUGGUUUUGCUCUGUUUUCUGCUAUUUUUUUUUUCCCAUGGUGGCCAAUCAGACAAGCGUUUUUGGAGAAAAAGGCUUGUCUGAUAGACAUUCACAUAACACUAAACAAAACAAGUCUUNGGUUUCUUUGUUUUUAUCUCUGUUGGUUGGCUCUGUUCUGAGUCAGAUCUGUUAGAUUUGUUGGUGUGCCUCUGUUUUGAGGCUGGUUUGCUCUGUUUUCUGCUAUUUUUUUUCCCAUGGUGGCCAAUCAGACAAGCGUUUUUGGAGAAAAAGGCUUGUCUGAUAGACAUUCACAUAACACUAAACAAAACAAGUCUUGUCUUUAUAGUCUAUUAACAACACUUUUACAAUACAAACUGUUGUAUGUUGCUUAAAAGUCAAUCAGGCAGACAACAUUUUAUAUAUUAAAGGCUUGUCUAUAAGGCCUUGUUACAAUGGUAACAAAAACACUUGUAUGUUAGCUUUCCAGUCACACAACACUAUAUAAAACCCUUGUUUGAACUGCUCGCAAACAACACAACAAAUAAAACACUUUUCUAUUUACUACAACGGUUUCCUGAAACAUUGUGUGAAGUUUCUUCACACAUCGGCUUGAAAAACAGUUGUCUGACAUGCAUAAUUACACAAUACCACAGUAAACAAAGUGUUGUCUGAUUGAAUUUACUAGACAACAUUUUUUUAACCAUUGUAGGUCGUGGUGUUAGACAAUAGUUUUUCCAGAGCGAAAAUAAAGUGUCGUGUCUUUGUUUUGGCCAACGCUUUUUUCAGCGUCCGUUGUCUGAUCAGUGUUGUCUGAUUCCAGUUUUGUUGUAGUGUUUUAUGGCGUUCACAUCUUUUGUAAUAAAGUGUUAUGUUGUCACUUCGGUUUCUGAAUUCGUGAUGUUGUUACUUGAUCACCAUUGAAUUAGAAAAGAUGCAAGAAUUAUAAAUUUGUCAUUAGAAGAUCACAUGGGUAACUUAAACUACAGAAUCAAAAUUAAAAUCAUUUUACUUUCUGAGAACAAAUUUGGUGGCAAAAGCCUGGCAUUGUUGUUGACGGAGUCUGCAAGGUGGUCAGUAAAGUUCUCUAGUGGACUCUUUCCAGUCACUAUAGCUUGUACAAACAAUCCGAACAUGGAGAACAUGGCUAAUCUACCAUUUUUGAGCUCCUUCACUUUGAGCUCUACAAAUGCCUCUGAAUCUUUAGUUAGGCUUAAUGGGUUAAAGCUUCCUCCUGGGAAGCUCUGUUGAUGUUUGUAGGUAGCAAAGGUGCUGAAAGAAUGUUAAUGAUUGAUUGUUAUACCAGUAUAUCUUGUAAAAUCAUUAUAUGUUCUUUCAUUGGUUGUCAAGAGAUUAUAUAUACAAACAAUUACUUGUCAUAUUAUUUCUCAUAAAAUGUGAUACCUAAUGCAUCCAUAGUGAAUUUGUGGUACAGAAAUCGCAUUAAAAAAAAUGUGUUAUAACACUUCCAUAUAUACUAGGUGUAUAGAGAAACAAGGUUCACAGCGGAGAAAUAGGUAAUCUUCAGGCUUCCAUUAAAUACUAAGGUUGUGCAAGUGAAUAACAUGUCAAGUAUGUUAUACUCUUUUGUUAAUCAGCGAUUUAAAUUCCUACUUCUGUAACUUAUACUAGAAAAAACUAAAAACAUAUUAUCUACUAAGACCAAAACAAAACUAAUGGGUCUGGUUACUACACCUUAUUAUGAAAUCAAGACUAUUAAGAAUCCAGCAGACGUGUUAGUCUCUGAGGAAAUGUAUAAUACAUCAUAUAUCAAUGAUCACUCGACUUUCUCCGAUUCACUUGUGACAUACAUACUCAAUCUUCAUUUCUUUUUACAUGGAGAUCGAUCAUAUACUAUCUUGAUCAAUAAAACAAUGAUAAUAAAACAGAAGAGGGAACCGAUUACACCAAAACUAUGGCAAGGGCUUAUGAGUGGUAUAACACAACAUAUGUUCCUGCAAUAAAUUUCAACAUCAUGGCCAUAACAUCUUAUAUCAUCUGUAAAAUCAGUUGUCUCGAGGAGUCCAAGUUUUCUUGCUUUUUGUCAUUGUAUCAAGUCCUUUAUGUUUUAUGAAUAUUGGUAUGGGACAACCAUCAAGAUCUUGUUGUUUCAAGAUCUUGUUCUUGUACAUUCUUAUACAAUACCCAAAAGGAAAAAAAAUACACUAAUCAUUUUUAAAAGUUGAAUGUUCAUUUAUACUAGUUAUCUUUUUCUUACGGUAGUUCGUUGAAAUUUGAAAUUUGGAUUGAUUUUCCCCAUUAAACAAUUAAAUAUAAUUAGAGAAUAAGAGGUUUUCAUUUAAAAAAAAAAAAUCACUUUACAAACUUGUAAUUCACCGAAUUACUCAACUGCGAUACUGCCACUAAUUAAGGAAUUAUAAUUAAGAAUAGUAUUGAGGUGGCAUUAGAAAUUCUAUGAUACAUUAUUUUUACAAUCUCUGCUUCUCAAACAUUCUGCAGACUUGAACUGUAUCUUUACAAUAUUAAAGGUCCCGGAUAUAAAUUUGGUAGAAAUUGGUCUUCCAAGAGUAAAGUCGAAGUUUUGCAUUAUCAUCCGGAUAAAAGGCAUAGUAUAGAGUUCAAUAAGAACAAAAUAAAGUUUCACUUACAGUCAUCUAUUAAAAUCGAAAGGAUAUCUUCGAUAUAUAUUUAAUUAUAUAUUUGUGUUGGUAUUUAUGAAGAACAUUAAAUUUAAAUUCAUUUAGUAAUCCUCCCAAAUAGGACAUUGAUUUAUUUGAUUAAUUAAAAGACGAAGACCCUGUGGAUUUGGAAGUGCUACAUCAACUGGCUCUGGCAAAGGAACGAAAGAAGCGUGGUGAAUCCACUACAUCUGAAGUGCCAACCAGGAUACUAAAAUUUAUCUGUUUUAAGAAAAUAUUCAUUAUGCAAUAUUCAUGCUGUGGAGUUUCGUACUUCUACGAUUGCCUCUCUUUUCCUAUUGCAACAUUAAAUGUCAACUCCUGUUCUUCACAGUUCAGAUAUCGAAGAAGGAGAAGUUGAUCUUUUGAUUUGUUAAGGAAUUUGUAAUAUAUGUUCAGUAAGAACAUCCUUAUGUAAUCUAAUGUACUUGUUUGAAUUCUGGUGAAUGUCUAAUGAAAUACCAGAAACUUUUUGCUAUUUACAAUUCAUGUUUAAUCCUUUGUCUUAUCAGUAAUUUAUUCCAUUUUUUUUCUUCGGAAUAAAUUUUGUUAGAUCUCUCAAAAAUAAUAAAUGAAAGGCAUAUGUUAAGCCUAUUUGUAUUUAAGAGUAUCAACUCAACUCUGAUAAGAAAGAAAGUAAAUUAGCAAGCACUAUUGAAGGAAUCCGUACGAAGAACGUCAAGUGAUUUAUUAAAAUCAUAUGUCUGAAGAAUUUCAGGAUGCUGCUGCACACCACUGGAAGAAGUUCAUUAAUAUGUUCAAGCCUCAGUGUACAAAUAAUAUUUUGUAGCACGUCCAGAAGUCCAGAAGGUAUAAAGUUUUAAUACUUUAUUUAUUCAGAAGAUUCCAAACUAUUUCUACUUAUGAAGAAGAACUACGAAGACAAAGACUCGACGAACAAGCCACUUCUCAAAUGUUUAAUUGAUAAAGAAUAUUUGAUUCAGCUAGAUACAGAUGAACCAGACAGUACAUUUGUGUGUCAGCUACUCAGAUUAAAUAUUCAGCAUCAACAAUAGGUGGUCGUUCAUUCAAGACAAGAAUCAGAUCUUUUAAAGGAUGUCAGAAGACCUGCUGCUGAAGGCUGUGCUCAAUAUAAUUAUUCUUUUAAUUUAUUCACAUCUCAAAUUAAUUAUAUAAGUUAUGUAAUUUAUUUAUUAAAUUGAUUCACACUUGAAUUAAUUUAAUUUAUGAAUUUAUAUGAUUAAUAUAAUUAAGUGAAUAAUUAUUGAAUUAAUUAUAUUAAAGAAAAUCUAUUUAAAACUGAUUUUGGGCACGGUAUGACAAUCAUAUAGAUUGUCAUACCGCACCUGGUUUGUCAUACCGUGUCUGUGGCAUGACAUAAGUUCAAUUGUCAUACCGAAUUGUGUAGCAUGACAAUGUUACACUUUGUCAUACCGAAUUUGAAUUGGCAUGACAUUACUAUGGAUUGUCAUACCGAAUUCAAUCAGUAUGACAUUGCUAUGAAUUGUCAUACCGAAUUCAUGCUGUAUGACAUUACUAAACAUUGUCAUACCACUCCAUGACUUAACCUCCAAGUCAUAUGUCAUGCUAUGGAUUGUCAUACCGAAAAUUGCAGCAUGACAAUGUCCUGAUAUGUCAUACCGAUUUCUAUUUCAGCAUGACAUGAGCUCACAUUGUCAUACUGAUUUCAUUUGUAGCAUGACAUUAGCUCACAUUGUCAUACUGAUCUUUGUAGCAUGGUCAUACCAACUUUGUCAUACAAGUUCAAGGUGUUGCCUAUAAAUAUGGCUUCAACCUCUUCAUUUGUUCUUGUUCAUUGCCUUGUAAACUUUCAAGUUGUUUGUAACUUGCUAUUCGUUAAAUCCACAGUUUCCUGUGCUUUGAUCAUUCGGUUGUUUUAAUCACUAAACUAGAAUACAUCCUGUCGAAUUUAUUCUACGAACUUUAGUGGACAUUAAAACGAACCUUAUUAAUUAUAUAACGACUUAAAACAUUGUUAUAUUAAUUAAUUAAAAUCUGAUUAACAAGUUUAUUUCAAAUCAGAUUAUUCCGCCGCGAUUUUUUAGUGACGAUUGUAUUCAACCCCCCCUUCUACAAUCGUUUCAGGACCUAACAAUAAAUCCUUCCCACUUAUAUAUUGGUAUUUUUCUAUGGAAGGAUUGAUCAUAUCCUUAUUAAUAUUUGCUUUGAAAAUAUUAAUAUCAUCUUUGAUUACAAUUCUGGAAUAUUUUUCUCGGUCUCUCAAAUUCAGUAUUUUUCGGAGAAAAAUAUUUUCAAUACUUAGAAAGCACUUCAAAAUUGUCAAAUUCAUGAUUUAUCAUGAAUAUCAUUUUUCUAAGUAUUUUGGAGCCAAAAGGAUCGUCAAAGAGUCUGCUUGUUCUGACUAAAGAAUAAUUAUUUCGGUUUUACGAAUAUAGUUCAUUGAGAAGAAUAUUUGGGUUUAAUACUCUAAAAUAGUUCCUUAAUCUCUAAAGAAUUUUAUCUUUGAGGGAAUAUAUUUUAAGUAUUUGUUCAAGUCUUUACUUGGGGCAAAAUCUCGUCUUCGGUUUGUCAAAAUAAUUUUCGUAUUGUCCUUGGAGCCCAAAAAUCGAUAAAUCGUUUUAAUUCCAAAUAAAAUAUUUCCACUUGCCGAACUGACUUGAAACUUGAGAUUAGCCAAUUAAAUAUUAUUUCUAGUGCAUGGUGAAAGUUUUGUAAAUUUUCAAGAACUUUCAUUUCGGUGAGAUUUUCCGACCUGUUGAUCCGACCUUAGACUGAGCAUUUGACCUAGCUAGAGUUGACCAAAAAUUACCAAAUUUGGCAGGAUUCCAUUUUUCAAUAUUCUAAGAUUUUUCAUAUUUUUUUUGGGAUUUUUCGAAGUCGUUCGAAAAAUCGCAUUAUUUGGUGUAACGGAUUUUUAGCCGUUUUCUCGGUUUGCGUGCCACAUUCUAGAGCUUCUAGUACUGAGAUUUUGUGACAAGAUGCUGGUCGAAUAUGCAAUAAAUGCUAUUUGAGCACAUGGGGGACAAUGGAUGACAAGUGUAUAACCCACGCACUUUAAUUCAAAUUAAUACACCAUUUUACAUUAAUUUUAAUUCACUAAACCCUCUCAUCUGGUCCUAUAAAUAUCCCCCCAUCACCCAACUCUUUUCUUCAAGCUAAGAGCCAAAGAAUUGCUGGGAUUUUUGAAGUAAACACUCUCUCAAUAUAUACAAACACUCUCUUCAUCUACUUCUCCAUUAAGACCUUCUCAUUCUUAUAUAUAUAUAUUCAAAUAUACACAAGGUUUUAAUCACCAAAGCUUUGUUUCACCCAACCAAGCUUUUUCCCACCUAGCCAAGCUCUCCACCACUUGUUUUCGGCCUCCCGAAGGGCUGCCCAAAUUCGUCCGUGUACUCAAAUCGUAUUGAACCUCCGGCGAAUUUCUCCGACGAACUUUUUCGUUAGUUUUCAUAAGUGGUUACUUUCUUAGCUUCAUAUUCGAGUCUUAACCGACCGAUUUGUUUUCCUAUAUAAGAGCUCAUACUUAAAUAUAUAUUUUCAUCUCUAAAGCUCUUUAUAUACGGAUCUAUCUUUUCGAACAAUAUAUUCGAAAGAUUAGUUACCCGAUCUAAAUAUUCGGGUUAUACGAACAAAGUUUCGUACUCCAAAAUAUACGGAGGGGUGUUGUUUCUAUACACACCGAAAAUAGCUUGAUCUUACUCCUCAUAAUCUUAACUUUAUUAUCUCAGAGGAAAAGAUAUUAUUAACAAGCUCUCUUUAAUAUUAUAGCACUCGAGUUGGCCGCUCGUUACUAUCGGGAAUAUUUGUGCACUAACCUUACUUGCUCUCUAACAAAUAUUUGUGCUCCCUUUCCCGUCACUCCCAUACCCUUCUUGUGUUGGUGAAGUACCCAUUUCUCAGCCUAGUGCUUGGUGGGGUUAUUAACCGGACGAGAUACGUGGUUUACGUGUAUAUUUACCGAACGUGUGUGUUGGGGUGUGAUUUACUUUCCGCAUGAUAUUGUUUGCUAUAUUGCUUGUUGUACUAAUGCGGAUACUUUGGCCUAAUAUUGUUAAACUUGUGCUAUUAUUAAAGACUCUCAAGAACUCUCUCUCGAUCUAAAUAUUAUUUAUUAGUCUCGCAAAGACUACAUUAAACGAGGAGUUAUCUUGUAACGAAGUUGUAUACUAAAACACUUCGUAUCUUUUUAUACUUUGUCUUAAGACAAAUAUAUUCGUCCAUAUAGCCAAAAGAUCUUAAAAGGACUUUAGUAUUAUCUACAAACUCCAAGACACGUGAAUAUUAUUUAUUCGGAGGAUUUUGUACGAUAAAAGUAUUCAUCGAUUUUAAAGAUAAAUCUAUCAAGAAAGAAUACUUUCGAGAUCUUAAGCUUUCGGAAAGUUUAAAGAACUCUUGAUCUUUAAUCUUCUUCAACCAAGAAUAUUAUUGUUAAACUCGGCUUAGUUAAUCUAGCCAAAAAAAAAAAAAAAACUCUUUUUAUAAAACAAGGAUAUUUCGUAGAUAUUGUUUUCUGAGAUUUGCAGUGAGGCGAAAGUGAAGUGAGGUCAUCUUCGUUCUAAGACCCAAGUCCUAGACGUGCUAGCGGGGAGUUAGUCGUCUUCGCACCGUGAGGAAGAGGAAAGACCCAAGACCUAAGACCUAAGAUCCAAGACCGGCAAAAGCUUAGAAGUUCAAAGACUACACUUGGAGUACAACGACUUUGAGGAGGUAACGGGGAGUUACGCUCUAAGAAGAGUCUUGUAAGUUUACAUUUAUAGUGAGGAGGUAACGGGUAGUUACGCUCCAAAAGAUAUAUUUGUAAAGGCUUCUCCGCCUACUUUAAAGGAGUUUCUUUAUAGUAGAGAAAAUCUCGAGUCCGGGGAGGAGCUCGGGGACUGGACUAGGGGUGAGUGGACUCCGAGGUUUGAGUUAGCCACCGCGAACCAGGAUAAAAUCUCUCAUGUGGUAUUUUCUUUUCUUUUCUCAUACUUCCGCAUAUUAUAUAACUGCUUACACUCUCGAUACACAUAUUUAAAAAGGAGAUAAACUUUUUAAAUUGGGAUAUAAAUUUUUAAUUGGUGAUUAAGCUAUUCAACCCCCCCUUCUAGCUUAAUUAACCUUUGUAUCGGACCUAACAAAAAUGAAUGGAGACGCAGGACAUGGUGCUUUUGGUUCUAACUUCGAAUGUAACUCAAGGCUGACAGGGAGUUAAAGUCCUCUUUUCGUUUCCUGCCUGAAGUAAUCUAUGAUUUAGAAACAAUUAAAAUGUUUCUGGAGUUCUGGUGAAGGCUAAACAAAGCUUAAGGUACUGUUACAACACAUACUAUUUAGAGCCUUAAAAAUGUAUAAGGUACAAGUGUAUAGUACACCAUUAACAAUCUCUUUAUCUUGGAGUUGUAUACAACACAAUAUGAUAAUUAAAAAUUCAUUAAAAAAUAUGGAAAUAAUGACAUGCAUACUCAAUCUUUGAUCUCUUUUACCCACCUAUCAUAUGCCAUCUUGAUGAUCCACAUAAGAAUAAGAAAAAAGAAGAGAGAACCAAUAAUGCAAACGGCUAAGGCGAGAACUGGUGUGUCGGAUAAGACCACAUACGUCCCUGCAAUAAAUGUCAACAUCAUCCCAAUAAUAGAAAGAAUGUUGAGGACGGUUGAUGAAGCAUUUAGCAGUGACACUUGGUGGGGAUCUUCAUUCAUUGAUUCGAGGAAGUAGAAAAACAGUGAAGAUGUUGACAUUAGUAGAGCUAAUGCAUCCGAUAACAUGAAUGCAUUAAAAGCUCUCUUUCUGGACAAAACCACCAGUCCUUCAGUAACCUCUCCACUUUUAUGGAGACCACCAGGCAUGGUAAAUCCUACUGUAAAAGUAACCGUCGUUAUAAGCGCGGUAACUAAAAUCUGGGUGUUCGUCCUAUUUUUAUAUAUUUCUAGAUCAUUUUUCCUCUGGUCAUGCUUUUCCUGCUUCAAUUUCUUUUCCUCUGCUUCAAAUUUCAAAUCUUUUUCCUUUCGUUUACUUGGGGGGGGGGGUUCUGUUACAUCCCCAAAUAUUCGUUUCAUUCUCUACUCUCUUACCCCAAAACUUCCAAAAUGAUUGAUCACUCUGGACAUGGUCAAGGGCAAUUUUAAUAUGCACCUACAAAUAAAGGACAACCAAUAAUUGCUAAUUAUCUUAAUUCGGAGAGAUGAUCCAUUUUAAUGACUAUAAUAAGACUUAACAGAUAUCAAAUAAAUCAAUGCAGUAAAAUUUCUACUGCCUCGUGCCUCUGAUGCUAAUAGCCAAAGAGUUAUACAAAUAGAAAGGUAAACAGAGGUGACCGUUUAGUACGUAGUAAAAUUACUAAUAGAAAGCAAAACUAUAGACUAAAUUUUUUGGUACUUUGUUCUUUUCUUGUUAAGAAAGGAAAAAACUAGCUUUCACAAAUUAUUAAAAAAGAAAUGUGGGGUUUUUAAGUUACCUGAUCUUCAACAAUAGCAUCUUCAACGUACAGCAUGUCCCGAGGAGUGAAAUCCUUGUUUGUUGCCAUUGUAUCAAGUCCUUUACGUUUUAUUAGUUCGGGAGUAAAACAACCAUUUGAGAAGAGCAAAUGCAGAGGAGUAUCCCCCAUGAUAUCUUGCUGCUCCAAAAUUGUUUCCUUGUACUUAUCUGGACAAUAUUCCAAAAUACCUUCCACCAUUUCUUUUCUAUUUUUAGCAGCAGCAGCCAAAUUUAGUAUAUUUUGGCCCUUUUCAUCAACAACUAUGUAUGGGGAGUUUGCGUGUACGGAUGCAGAAUACGAAGCUGGCCACAAUUCCAUCAGUCGUAUCAAUGUAGAAGUACAUCCAUAUUUUACUGCUACAUGGAAUGGCGUUGUGGAAUUUCCGUACACAAAUUGGUGUGUUAGGUCCAAAGUAUCGUAGAAGGGGGGGGUUAAAUACAAUACUCACUAUAAUUUAAAAUUCUUUCGAAUCUUGCGGAUAAAUAAAUUGCAGUCCUGUAAUGGGUUUCGUCUUCCGGAUAUUUAUCGGGUCGGUUUCUGAGGAUAUGAAAAUAUUAAACCAACAAACAAUAUUUUCAAGGUAUAUCUGUAUAUUGAUAAAUACCUCGAAGGUGCUACAAAUCCAAACCCGAAGGUUGGCUACAAUGAACACUCCUCUAAAUAUUACAAGCCCUAUCCACUACAAAUAUUUAUGGUACAAAACUAGGCUAGGGUGUGUGUAUAUUUGAGAGAGUUUGUGCAUAGCACUUGGCCAUCCAUCCCGAAGGAUGAUGUUAAUUGUGAAAACCACAAUCACAUAUUUAUAGGCUUUCAUAAACUAACCAUGGUUAACGAGUUCGUCCUGGACGACUUGAGUUCGUCCUGGACGGAUUCAGAUAUUCAAAAUAAAACUAACUCCAAAACAAAGUUGCGCCAUAGCUGUUGAUUAGAGGAGCAACAUUUGACCAGGUCAAAUGUUGUUCCAAUAUAGUGCUUCCCUUGUAGUGUUUGUGACUUAGAAAUUAUUCUAAGUUACAAGGAGUUUAUGCCAAGAGUUGUUGGUAGAGGAGCAACAUUUGACUGGUCAAAUGUUGUUCCAAUAUAGUGCUUCCCUUGUAGAGUUUGUGACUUAGAAAUUAUUCUUAGUUACAAGGAGUUUGUGCCAAGAGUUGUUGGUAGAGGAGCAACAUUUGACCGGUCAAAUGUUGCGCCAAGUUCAAACCUUGCGCCCGGGUCAAACCUUGCGCCUUGGUCAAAUGUUGCGCCCGGGUCAAACCUUGCGCCUUGGUCAAAUGUUGCGCCAUAGAGUAUACAAGAGGUACUUGGUGACUUAGAGAAAUUCUAAGGCAAAUAUGAACUUGCUCCACCAUUGUAAUGCUUCCCUUGUUAUCACUCCUUUGACUGAGAUUGACUUGAGUUUGCUCCUCUCCCUACUUAGCCAAAUUAGCUCAAAUCUUGAGUUGGCACAAAUCAUAUAUUAUAUAUAUUAUAUUAUAUUCAUAAUAUUAUAUAAAUAUAUGUAUAAAUAAAGAUAUACAUAUAAAUAUAUAUAAAUAAUAUUUAUAUAAACAUAUAGUAAUAUAUAUAUAUAUAUAUAUAUUUAAAUAUAUUCUCAUAUAUUUAAAUAUAUAUAAUAUACAUAAAAUUAUAUGUAAAUAUAAAUAUAAAUAUAUAUAGGGAUAUAUAUAUAAUUAUCUAUAGAUAUAAAUAUACACAUAUUUAUGCACAUAAUAUAAUAUAUAUAUAUACACUUAAAUAUAUAAAUGUUUAUGUAAAAUAUAAAUACAUAUACUAUAUACAUAUAUAUUUAUUUAAAUAUAUAUACAUAUAAAUAUACAUAUACAUAUGUUUAAAAACAUAUAUACAUAUAUAUUAUAUAUAUUAUAUUUAAUUAAAUAUACAUAUAUACAUAUAUAAUUAUAUUUGUACAUAUACAAAUAUAUAAGUGCACACAUAUAUAAAAUGUCACUUCCUGAUAUGGCUUUCUGUGGAAGCUUUGACAUAUGGCAUUUGAGCAGUAAGCUUUGGCAUAGCUGGCAUUUGGCUUGGCUUGGCUUUGGAACAAAUGACUUGAUAUGACUGGAUCAAUUCUUCGAUCGAUAAAUACUUUGCAAAGCUUCGUACGUGCUGACGCUUAGUGCACUGGUCUGGUUCACAAGCGGCUAACACUGAAGUUAAACAUUGUACCGUCUUUGUCAGCAAACAUUGAUCAGUCGGUUCCGGGUUAGUUUAUGCUUCAGUUUGUUGAUUAUAAAUAACCAACCAAGAUAUAUAGAAAUAUCUUGCUUCAGGGGUUGCACUGAAAUCUUUCGAGUACUUGGACAACAUCUUCAUUGCUUCCACAAUCUUGAAUACUUCAAUCUUUAUUCUUCACUGAGGCAUGAACAUAUUAAUGAACUUCUUCCAGUGAACUUAUUCCUUCAAGACUGUAGAUGGCUUCUUCAACCUUUGUCUUCGUAUCUUCCGAUUCCGGUGCAGGCGUAGUGUUAUUUACUUGUCCUGUUCUAUUGUUGAGUUAUCAUCCCUAUGUAACAGAUAGGGUUGUCUUUACAUUUAGACUUACAAUAUCCCCCUAUUUGUUUGUUAAUCAUAACAAGCAAAUCCUCUGGAGGAUAACUCAACUAACACUAGAAAAAGUAAAGUCCUGGACUAGUAAAUAAUGCUACAAAGUUUCUGGAUCAUAUAAUACAUUUCCAGAUUUCAUGAAUAGAAAUAACAGAUGUGCAUAUCACCUUUAUUUCUCUGGUUCUUGCUUACCUGCCAGAUAAUCCUCAUAGUCUGUCUUGAAGAGAAUUCAAAACAUUCCAUUAUGCAAAGAACAAUCAGCAGCUUCAUUGAAUUCUUCAGUGGUAAUGAAUAAGUUCCUGUCUACCACUUACUGAAGAAUAAAUGUAUCACCUUAUACUUCUCCUCCCGUUACCUUGAUCAGGUUCCCCUUAGUGAUAAGUAGUUGUCUCCCCUUAGAUGAAAGAUCAAUCCUCCUCCUUAGUCUCAAGAAGAAUCUCCCCCUCAGUAGUACACAGCUAAAGAGUAGUUUAAUCCCCCUUAGUUGUAGACAGCUAAAGAAAGCUAACUUACUUUUUCUUCCCCCUUUCAUAUAUUCUCCCCCUAAAUAUAUUCUCCCCCUUAGUUGUGGAAUCCUCCGAGGAUAUGUGGUAUCAAAUAUGGUCAAGGAACGUGUCCAAUACAUCCUGUACCAAAAGAUAAUAUCCCCGUAGAGAACUAAACAACGCUAAAGCUGGGGUCGAAGAAAGAGUUCAGAAGAAGGGUUUACUUUGAUUGGGUUGGUCCCUAUGCUAAAAGAAUAGGUUCCAAACGGAAAAGUAAUGAAUAAGAACUGACAUUCCAGUAACAACAUCCACUUUGUCUUUAGGUAUAAAUUUGGUAAUUAGUGGGUGUCUCACUAAAAUGUUCUGCAGGUGUAUCACUCAACACUCAAUUUUCUCUCGGUUUUUGGGUAAGGGUGUCACUCACGAGUUCUGUAAGUGUAUCCCUCCACACAAAUACUGAGCUUCCAAAAUGCUGAGUACCUGCAAGAAAAUCACCUUAGCCACCCUUAAAGGGGGUCACCGGUGGUGCAAUGGGAGUUCGUAAUUCCCAGUCCCUGCAGACUCAUCAGAUAAAUCCGAAUCAUGGUCCACAAGUUGCCAACCACUAAGUGGCUUAUCCAAUUAAGGAUCCAGAGUUGUUUGCUCUAGGAGGUUAGGCAAAGACUUUAUUAUGGCAAAGGCCUAAGUCCUCCUCGAUGUCUGUGAAGACACUUGAUUCAACAGAAUCAUCAACCAUAGGUUCACAACAUGAAAUGGAAUGAACCGUAGUUGCUUCCGUCAAUUCUUUCAACAGCUUGUGAGCUUUCAAUACCAAUUAUUAUUAUAUGUACCUCACAAGUGUUUCAGUCUUCUCAAUUUCCUAUGUGUUUGCACCCACUCAUGNNNNNNNNNNNNNNNNNNNNNNNNUCAGAUGGUUCUUCUCAGAAUCUUACCAAGUGUUUAACUCUCAGUGUUUCUCUCAGCACUCAAAGUAUGAUCUUCUAUACCUGCAUGAGAAAAUCACCAUAGCCCCUUCAAGAGAGGUCACUGGCGGUGCAAUGGGGUUUCGUAAAUCCCCGAUCCUCAACUGACUCAUCAAUAAAUUGACUCAUAGUCAGAGAGUUGCCGAUCUCCUAUAAAUAGGAAAUCCAUUCCAAUUGGAUCCAGAUCUGUUCUUAUCUGGGGAGGGAGACGAGAAUCCUGAAGAUUUGGCAAUUGAGAUCCUCGUUUCCUCCUUACACCUGUAAAGGCAUCAACCAUCUUCUUUACCGUAAAAUGGUAAAUGAAGAAGUUGCUUCUGGAACAAAACCUUUAACCUUACUGUGCACUCUCUUGUAUUGUGUCCAUAAGAUUUUCUGUUUAGGCUCUUCAUCAGAGUGAUUACUAAUGAUGUGCUUGACUCAAUACAGGAUGCUCUGGCUGACGAGCGAAUUUCAAUGGACUCAUCCUGUUGAGAGAAUGAUUCCAGAGAUUGUUUAAUUGCCUUUUAAGCUCUAUAUUCUUUUGGGAGAAUACAGAUGAGCAACAGUUACCUCAAUUUUGAAAACACCUUUUCUCCUUGAGAGGUAGAGCUGUGGGUACACUAUCCCUUACAUCCUUAUUUGCUGCAACGAGUACAGUUUCUCCCUCAUUGACUUUUUGUUUGAAAAGUUCCUUAUUACUCCAGGGGAAAGUUGGGAUGUGUUUUGAAUUUGGUUUUAUAGUCUGGGAUAUAGAUUGUUGGUUUUCAACCUUAUGACUAUUUAGGAAAGCCAAGAGGCUGAUUAAGUACCGAAGAACAGAAUGAGAUAUAAAUGCACUUUAGAAAAUCUAUGAUUUUGAAUGAAGGCAAUUGUAUUUAAUCUUUUGAGAAAAAUGAAUCAGUUGUGAUUGUAAAAAAUGAUUUGCAUAAAGAAUGACAAUCACAACAGAUGAAAGAAUCAAGAUUUUCCAUUAAAAAUUGGUUUGAGUACGAGAGUCUGAAUCUAUGCAUAAAAGGUUUAAAUGAAGCUUUGAAAAAGACACAGACUCCUGUUUCUCACUACAAUUUAAAAAGGAAACAAGAAAAAUUUAUGCGCUACAGUGUAUAAAGCACUCGCCACACUAAUUAGUGAAAAGGCCUCAUACUAGCACAUCGUCAAAACAGACGCUGCAAGUGACAAAGAUCACCAAGUACACAAAUACAAGAUAAUCAAUGUCUCGUCCUAUGACGCUACAUGUAUAGAUGCAAAAUAUUCUAAGAAAUAUUUAUGAAAUAGAGUAGUGGAUACCAAUUGUUGAAAUCAAUUGAUAAGAAAAUUUCUUUGAAGAAACUCACCACUCCAGAACAUAAAUAUGAGACAGAAUAAAGAUUAUGUUGUCUCCCUUGUACUCAGAAUAUUAAACACCUAAAAUAUAUUAGCACUAGUGGUUUUAAGAAAUAUGCAACAAUAUUUCACCAGUGCCAAUACAUCACAAUCAAUUCACAAAUAAAACAUCAAUAAAGCAUCAAAGAGAGAUACCAAUUAAAUAAUUCAAAACGUUAAUUAAUCAUGCAUCUAUUAUUCUAUCAAAGUCAAUCAUGAAACAAAUAAGCAUAUAAUUGUCAUGGAUCACAAUUUAACUAAGAUAAAAUAAUAAUUACUUACGGAAUAUCAUAUAAUUAUCAGAUCAGCAUAUAACAACAAAAAUCAUGACAAUCAUACAAAGAUAUUCGUAAGCCCGAGGGAAAGUUGAAGAAAAGUUCACGAGUCUUAUACAUGUAAGCAUUGAGUACAAGUAAACUCACACAACUCCUCGCAGAAAAUAUUAACAAUUAAUAUUAGUGAUCUACAUAUAAGCAUGCAAAAAAUCACUAACACUAAAAGUAUCACACCUAUAUGCAGUUAGACAUGAAAUAAAAUACCAAUUAAUAAAUCAUCAAAUAUCUAACACAAAUAGCUAUGCUUCACAUAUAUACACUAAUAUAAAUGGAUUCAGCCUAGAGAGAAUCUAAGUAACUCCACAAAUACUAGUAUAUCAUGACUAAAUUCUAACUAGAUUCUAACCACAUACCAAUUACUGAUACAAGUCACAAGUCUAGAAACAAAUAAGUCAUGCUUCAGAUUUUAUACCUAUAAAAAUGAAUUCAACCUAGAAAAUAAUCCUAAGUAUGUUCACAAAUACAGAUAUAUCACGACUAGAUUAUGACAAAGUUCUCUACUAGAUACCAAUUGUUAA
rnacentral:lncRNA from 1 species